CAGUUCAAAGUUAUUUGCUCUUCUUCCAUGGUGCCUCCAUCUACGAGGAUCGUUGACCUUUAGUUACCUUCUUUUUGAGCUCUAUCCUCGCUGCAACUGUUAUCUUUUAUAUAUCUUCUUGUUGCCACAUCAUCAGACAAGUCAAUCAGCCAAUUGCUUCUCUUCCAUGGUGCCUUUGUCUACGAGGAUUGUCGACCUUCGGUUGUCUUCUCUUUAAGCUCUGUUCUCGCUGCAACUAUCAUCUUUUAUGUGUCUUCUCGCGGUCAUAUUAUCAGAUAAGUCAAUCAGCCACAUUGACAGAUAUGUUAGUAUGUCACGUUAGUCAGGCACACCAGUCUGCUAUGUUAGUCACCUGUGUCAGUAGACACAUUAGUUUGCUGUGUCAGUUAGCUACGUCAACAUUAUCAAACAUAUCAGUUUGCUACGUAAGCUUCUUAGUCUGUCGCAUCAGUUUUUAAGCUGCUAUGCCAGCUUCUAUUCUACAAUAUCAAAUUCUGUAUUGUCACAUUGGUUUGGAACAUCAGCCUGUCAUAUCGGUUUUUGAGUUGUUAUAUCAACUCCUAAUCUGUUAUAUUAACUUCUAAGCUGCUAUAACAGCUCAUGGUCUGCCACAUCAGGCUCUAUUCUGCCACAUCAGGUUAUAUACUGCCACAUCAACUCUUGAUCUAUCACCAUAUCAUCCUCUGUGCUGCUAUGUCAGUUCUUAGUGUAUCACGUUAGUUUCUAAGCUGCUACUUCAGCUCUUGAUCUAGUAGGUUAGUUUCUAGGUACAUUCGUGAUCUAGUUUUCAAACUCAAGUUGGCACCUAUAGUACUAUUUUGAGUUUGAAAAGGAAUGUUAGCAUAAUUUUAGAGAUCACGUAUCAGCCUAUAUUAUUUUUUUUUUAUUAGCGUGAUCCUGUAUCGUCAGUAUUAUUUUUUUUGUUAGCGCGAUCUUUUAUCGAUCACUAUUAUUUUUCUUUGUCAGCAUAAUCUUGUUAGAAUGAUUUUAGGAUCACAUAACAACUAAUAUUAACAAGUAUUAUUUUUCUUUAUUAGCAUAAACUAUAUUAAUUCAUAUUAUUUUUCUUAUAUGGAAUAUGUACAUGAAUAUAUAUAACCUCCGAGAUGUACCUAAUAUAACAGAAUAGAGAAAUAAAAUCAUAUUUCUCUCAUUUUCUUUUAUUUUCCUCCUCUUCUGUAAAUAUUUUAACACCAGGAAUCCAAUAUAUUGAUGUGGAUAUGUGAGUGAAAUGACGAUUAACCAAAGCUUCUUAACCCAUUCUCACCAUUCCAACUUCCGAUUAACUAAUAUUUGAAACACACAUUGAUGUUCUUGGAUCAAGAGAAGUGAUGGAAAGGAUUCAAAGACAAUAGAGUAUCUCUGCACAAGUAUCAGAACUAGUUUUUUUUUUUACAACAUAAAUAAUACCACACUUGAAAUUUACCAGCUAUUCUUCAUUGUAACACACCAAUACAGUUAAUAUCUAUUCAUGCCAUACCUUGUAAUCAUAUCCACCAACUAUUUUAUGCAGCACCUCUUUAAGACUGGCACAACAAUCUCUCUUUUGGCAGCUACUUUUAUAAUUAUCCAACUAAUUGAGAUGAUUAAUAGCUCGGUUGAGGUGUGACCUCAAUUCUAAGUAAUCUUAAGCAAUCUGGAUCAGAUUCAAGUUUUUUUCUUGAAGGCAACAGGAUAUCUUAGAGGCAUAUCAUUGGUUGAUCAUUUGUUUCUAGAAUCCAAGCUCCACCCUCUCAUUAAGUUUCUUGUUCAACUCUUCUCUUGAGGGCAGUUCACCAUCUCCUUUCAUGAUAGCAGACCACCAGUCCUUUAUUUCAUCCUGCAAUCACCAAGCACCAGCAAAAUCAAUAAUUAUGGAUGAGCAUUAGAAUCACUGAUUAAUCUGACCCGAAACACAGAAGAUUUUGGAGCCUUCUUCAAAUUUCAAAUUUUUCAAUAAAAAAAACAAAUUAAUGGGAUAAUGAAUUGAAUGGCUUAAAAUGCAAAUAUAAGACAUAUUUGGAGAAAUGAAAUAUAGUUUGGCAUAAGAUAAAUCAGGAUGAUUUAAAGAGUAGACAAAAGAAGAGUAAACCAUGGUGUUCCCAGGACAAAUUUCAUCUAGAAAAUUAAAUAAGUACUCAAGGGAGAGAGGAGGUCUAUAACAAAGGCUCCACUAUCAGGUCCCCAACAGAUACAAGGAACAAAGCACUGAGGCAUUAAACACCAAACAAUGUACCAUUUAUAAAGAGCAGGUCGAUCAGGAACAGCACCUAAGAUCUCUGCUUGGCUGCUGCUUAGCCUGCUAAGCCUAAUGCUAACACCAUUGGAUAACCUGCAUGUAAUUCUAGCUUCCUUCACUUCUGUACUUCGAGGUUGCUUCCAUCAUGCACUCGAUAGGGAAAAGAUAUAUAACUAAAAUUUGUUUAAAUGACUAUCAACCAAUAAUAUGGAUAUGGUGCGGCAGCAUCCAAAUAGGCCCCUAAAGAUGCAGUCAUCAACCCCAAAAUUAUUUCUUAGCUUCUGCUUUCUAUCAAUUGAACAUUACCAAGUUGAUAUCAAAAAUCUCCUGCAAAAGCUUUAAGUUCGCACAAUCAUAUAUGAAUCUCUACUGAUGGUGCUGAGAAAGGCAUGUCGAAGGCAAGGCUCGCUGACCAGCAUGUGAGUCUUGACAAAUAUAAUUUUAAGACACUCGUGUCAAGAUACUCGGAAAGGUCUGGUCUAUGAUGAAACAAGAAGAAUGAGGGUGAAUUUCAAACAGACAGCUAACUUAUUCCACCAACAAGAUAAUGAUAAUUUCAGGAUCAACCUGACCACUUGAGCAAAAGGAGGAAAUGUGAAACAAUUAUAAGUUUCUUAACAACAGGACCAUAGCAUAAAAACUGAAAGGCUGCAAAUUCUGCUACAUCAUGUUUAAAAAAGGCUGUUGUGUCCAUGAAGUGGGUUGGACGUUGGAGCAUAGCACUUGACAAUAUUCAAUAGACAUAGUAAUAGAUAGAAUCCUAAGCCGUAAAUGUUACCUCAAGAAAAUCAUCAUCAGACACAGUAUGAUAUUUCACAAGGCAUGUGGAACUCCCUAUGCUUACAGAAAGGCAGUUUCCAAAACUUGUACCUGUGAAAUCAAAGAAAUACCAUUGUAAAAGUUCUGAAUGAAAAAUAAAUCUGCAAGUCAAUCUUUAGAUGGCACUGAUUUUAUGUCUAACAUCAACUAUUACCUUUCUUUCAGAAAUAAAAAAGAUAAGCAAUUUUUGAUAAAGAUCGUAAGAGAUAAUCUACUAUUUCACAAACAAGGAGCGGGAAGGGUAGAAUGUCACCAUUAAUGCGAGCCACAUGAUACCCUGUUCCCCCCAGUCCUUCCUCCCACUUUCCGAGCCGCAGGCGCACGAAAAAACCUUCUACGCUAAAUUGGGCAACUGGUGAUUUCAGCAACCUAUAAAAUUCAUAGAUUACAAUAAUGAUUAGUAAUUACAAAAAUAGGAUAUUUGAAAUAAGAACAAUUAAAUCUCCAUGAACCUAUCCUACCUGACCCCUUUAAAGGAACCAAACAACAGGGACCUAAGAAAAUAUUACAGAAUUUAGGCAUCAUAAUUAUUUCCUAACAUUGAUAAAUAUGACUUAGGAAAGUUAUCCAAUUCCAUCUAUUUCAUGAUUUAGUAAUUACAUGGACCAGUAAAAGUUCUUUGGAUUAUAUAUCUGCAAUGCACCAGGGUCUUAAAGCUCAAACUAUAACAAGGUUUUCCGUACUCACUAGUACUGCCUGCCAUUUGGCAUACUAUACCACCCCAAUAAGAUACCGGCACAGUAUGAGGGCUCAAUACGGUACUGUGCUGACACAUGGUACAGCCGUAUAGCUGCUGUCUCACCUCCAACAUGUACCAUGCAUUGAUACAGGGUUGAACCCAGCCCAUACCAGCAAGCUACAGGGUCCAUUACCAAAACUAAAAACCUAUCUGCAACUUAGUUUCUGAAGCUGAAGAUAUAAUUGAGACAGGCAUUUCCUAGGGAAAAGAAAAGCCAAACAAGGUAAAUUUAUAUUAGCAAUCAUAGUAAUUAUUGAACCAUUAACUCAAGAAAAUAUGCAUUUCAGCAAUGCCUGUCUCUUUAGUGUAAAAGAAGAACAAGAUUCAGUCAGGAAAAACAAAUAAAAAACAAUUCAUUUUAUUGGCAAGAGAACAAGCCACCAGUCUGCACUAAUACAUAAUAAUUAGUAACUACUAUAUAAAGCAAAAGACCUUUUAACCAAUUUCUUUCCAAAUAAUUUUAUUAAAUGCAUGUGGCUGAGAUUAGCAAAAACAUUAUUGAAAACUGGUAACUUGUGUCACCUGAUAGAAUACAAUUUGCAGACAUUGUGAUUGCUCACUUGAUCAAGUAUUUUGUCUUUAAAUCAUACUCCGACUUCAAAAUUUCUAUCUAAUUCCAGAUUUUCUGAAGAAUGUAUCUUCAGUGUAUGAUCAUGUCAUAAAAAUCAAAGAGUAGAGAAGUAGGACCAUUGUUAUGUAUUUCCAGAUCAUCAGUAUCUCACUACACAACUCCCUUAUAAUUGUAGCAAGGACAAGAAAUUUGUCACUUAGACAAACUUCCAGUCUUCAUAAACUAUUUGGACUUACGAACAUCCACAUUCUAGAUCAUAUUUUUCAUAUAUGUCUAGAAUAAAAAUAGCUCUCUUGUACAAUGGGUUGCCUCUGUGCAUAACUAAGAAAGACAAACUUCAUGACAAUGUCCUACAACGUGGCAAUGCAAAUACUAAAACAUGUACUGUUACCAAAAAAAAUGUUACUGAAAAGUAAAUACAUAGAACUAAUAACUCUAUAUGUGUAAAAUCAUAGCAACUAUCACACGGACAUAGCCAUCAAGUCCUUAAAGUGGACUUCAUGGUCAUGCUCACCCUGAUAAAUAUUUAUAUUGAUUUCAUUAUCAAUAUGCUGCAGGGUAAUGUUUUACAUCAGCAAGCAUACAUUAUGAAAAGUCAAAACAUUCAUGAUUUUGAUGCAUCCUAGAAGAACAUAUGCUUCAAGGAAAUUAGUGCAGGAAACUAUAUUUUGAGCAACAUGAUUGGUGAUUGCUAGCAAGAAGUGCUGCAGAAACCGCUAUUAGGAUAUCAACAUCAUCAUCAUUAAAUUCCAGGUUUUCUUCUACCUGAUGACAUCAAUGCGAGAUAAACGAAGCCUCCUUAUUGUCUCAAAAAUUUCAGUUGGCUCAUCACGUACUUCAGUAGCCAUAAAAUUACAGAAUGGUAUUAUACAAUUUUCCUUUAACUCAUCAUCUUCUGAAUUCAAAGCCCUGCCCUUCAAUUUAAUUCUCCUUUCUGCCAGAUCCUCGUUGACUGGUUUUGAAUAUAAACCACUUGUAUUAGGGCCUGCAACUUCAUCAACACUGCUGCUUCCAUGUACUGCAAGCUUGGUCUUCACUCUUGACUCUCUUAUUGGAGGAAUUUCAUAUAUGCUGACAUGCUGCUGAUGCUCCUGUUUGUCUUCAGACCAUAAAACACCUCUUCCAUCAUAAUUCGCAGAACUAUGUUGUCCAUGACUUCCAUCAACCUUGCCAGAGUUCUCAUUAUUAACAAUGAAAGAAUUAUCACUGCUAUUUUUUCCUUUUGAGGAUGCACGCGGACAUGCAAUGGCCCAGUGGUCGAGCUGAAAACAUCGAAUGCAUAAACCGAAUGGCAUAUCUGUGCCAUCUUGUGAAUUCAUAUAUUUCAGAAGAUCCUCGAGAUCAGAUUCAACUAGCUCAGAACAUUCUCUUAAGCUGUGACCAGUCUUUCCACAAAAGAAGCAGAUUAUGGCUGCACUUGAUGUGCCAUCUGAAAUUUUUGGAGGCACGAUAUGUCUAAGGGCACCCAAUCUCUUUGCAAAGAGAGAUGCUAUUGAUUCUGAGUUUCUAAAUCUUUGUGAAGGUUGUAUUGGACUUAGCUUAGAUGUGAGCUUGUGAUCCCCUGGCUCCUUUAAAUCAUAUGAAUCUGUAGAACACGUUGGAUAUGGCUUCAUUCCUCCAUUUCUAGCACCCCUUCUUGUUUCUAGGGAGAGGCUACAGUUCUCUGAAUUUUUAUGCUCCUUCCCAGGAGCAACUUUACCUUGAGAAGGAGAGCUUAACAUACUAUUUUCAUUAUUGAGAUUCUGAGUUGCUCCUGCACCCAGAUUGCAAGGUACUGGAUUUAAUAUUGGUGACGAAGCUUUUGGCAACAGCCGAGUUAUCCAUAAGUUCUGACAAAAACCACUUCUGUUGUCGAAUAACUGAUUUAAAGAGCUAUUUGGAAUUGAACCAGGUACUCCAGUUCCCUUGUCUUUAGGAGAUCCAGAACCGCUCUUUGCUGAAGAGCUUGAAGAUCCAAUGUUGUUCACAGUGCAAGCCUGUUUUACUUUCUGAUUAACAGUAGAGCUAGUGGAAGAUAAAAUGAUUGUGUUUGAUGGAAACUCCACUUGAUAAGUACCCUGGUCAAGCCUCUCACCUGAAAAAGAUACAAUAGUAUCUAAUUUGCCACCCUCCCUAUCGCAGACUGAAUGAGGGCUGCCAAUGGCAAAAGGUUUACCAGUAACAUGAAGUUCUUUUGAAACAUCAUGUGUCUCCUGACUUGUUACAGUAGUGUUUAUGUUUAUAUUCAAUUCCAGACUAUCCCCGUCCACAUGAUUACCAUAAUCCAGUUGCUCUCUCAUAACUUCUAGUUUUUUCAAGGCAUCAGCUUCUCUUUGAUUAUUAUGAUAAUUUGGCCCACUAUGUGCGGUGACGUUUGGACAGUAGAGAGAUUGAAAAAUGGAGUUAAAACCCGUUGUUCUGCAGGCAAUGCUGUCGCUUUUAUCAUCUGUCAAGGGAAAAGGACCCAAGCUUUCUUUCCUAGUGUUAGACGAUUUUGGAACAAUUGCCAAGGAAGGUGCUAUUUGACCAUGUCUGGAAAAACCAUUAGUUAUGGUUGAAAUCCAAUUCAUAAAAGAGUUUUCUUUUCUGAGAAAAGAUCCUGAGCAAGAGCUCUCAUUGCUUUCUUUUUUGGAUCUUUUGCUUCCUAGGGACAUCUUUGAGUUGCAACUCCGUGCUCGUUUCUGUGUUGAUGCUAAACUUCUGCUAGUACUGCUUUCAACACUUUCAUUGCUGUCCCCUCUCUCUAUUGAAACUCUCCCACUGUCUUCAACAUAGCGAACUUUUUCUUUACCCUUUUUCAGACUUCUAGGAUUUGCAUUGCAUGCUGAUUGAGACUCAAAUAAAGCAGGCUCAUCUUUUGUGUUUGUAUUUGCUUGCCAAGUUUCAUUAUUGCCAACAUCCUGAGAUUGCGACACCGCAGCCGUACCAACCUUGCUCAUAAUAUUAAUGUCUACAGAUAGCACAUCACCUGAACAUGGUUUACCAAGAAUAUGGAAGCCAGUAGACUGCUCAGUGAUCCUUUCAGUAUUGUCUUCUGCAUCACCUAAUUCCAAGCCAGCAUCCCCGCACUCUGCAGAACCUGAGCUUGAGGCUGAUUUCACAUUGCUUCCAUUUUUUGCUAACAUAGAAUCUUCAUGAGCAGAUGCUUCGACCAAGCCUGAUGCCUGGUGCUUCUUUAUUCUAAUCAUUUCUUUGUGAUGGUCAUUUGAGGUUCCAAUAUGGGAUGCACACUCAACUUCAAUCUGUGCUUGAUCAGGCUUCAGCUCUUUUAGGCUACAUGAUAUAGAAUUGGUACUCAGGUCAUUAUUAUAUGGACCUACACAAUGACAAGGUACAUAUUUCAGAUGUGAGCUGAUAGAGCAAAAAAUGUGAAUUUGCAGUGGAAAUACCUGCAAUAAAAAUCUUAUCAUCAGUAGUAUCAGCUGCAACUGUCUCAGGAUCGAUGAUGCCAAAACCCUUGCUGUUUCUGGGCAGGCAUAUGCCAGUUUCCUUCUUAUCUGACUCAUCAUGCUCAUACUUAUCAUCUAAAAUUGCUCCUUCCAUUUUGUUCAGGUCUCCAUGAGAUCCUGCAACUAGAAUUAUAUUUGCAAUUAGAAUGGGCUUGUGAAGAUGGCUUUCGUGAUGAAUCUGAAACACACAUUACAGAAUCCUUAUAAUUGAAGUUUAAUGGACACAUAGUUGUUUUUGUUCACACUUACUUGAAUCUUGUUCGCAUAGCCUUGUCAGAAAGGCAGGUUGCAUGUCGACAGUUCUCCUAGGAGAGCUCGGCAGGUUUACUCUUUUAGAAUUCCUAUUAUCAGAAUUUAAUUCAAUCUGCAUAUUUUUCAUGUUCCCCACAGCAAUAUCUCCAACAUUGCCACUCUCCCCACCAUUAGUAUGCUGCGGUGAUGAAAUUAUUAUAUUGAAUGAUUCUGUAUUCCACAAAAGAGAGGCUUUCUUUUCAGCUAAACUGGAACCAGCAUAUUUAAGACUCAGUCCCUCGUGUGGAGACCACACGAGUUCUGAGAGAGGAGUGGUGGAAAUGAAUACCAUAUCUGCCCUUGAAGCUGCAUUUGCACCUGCACCUGCACCUGAAUCUUUAUUUAUUAUGCUUUCAUUACACCUUUCGGCAGAGUCCAAGACAUGUAUAUCUGCCAUUGAUUCCUCAAAGAAAUUUUCAAGAUCUGCUCACAGCAAAUACUUUAGCAGGAUUUUUUUUUCCAAAAAUAUAAAUCAAAUCCAGGACAGUUUAUUCCAUGCCUCUAUAUAUGUAAACUAUGCUAAUAUAAGAAGAAAAUUGAAAAAAAAGAACAAAUACACCUAUAAAGCAAAGCAGGAACUUGAGCAGAUGCACUAGCCAGUGUCCUUACAUGGAGGGAACAAGCACAAAAAUGUGAACGCUAUCUAGAAAUGUAUAAUCUACUCAAAUGCAAAGAAGACCAACUUUACCAAAAUGCGUGCAGGAAAACAAAUAUCUAGAUGCAUUACAAGAAUUCAGUUUACAGUUGGAAGCAUGCAGAGUAGUUUUCGAAGUAUAUUUCAGUCGUCAUCCCAUAGUCUCUGCAGCUUAUAUGGUUUAAGCAACUUCAAUCAACACAAAUAUGGUAAAAACAAAUACAAUAAAAAGGGCAGAUCAAGUGGUGUUGUCGAAUGCUAGCAUAGCUAUGAUGCAUUAAAUUAGUUUCUGUUCAUCAUUUGAGAACUGAUCAUAAUGAGAUAAGCUGCCAUCCUCUGAUAGUGGUUUGCAAGGAUACACAACUAGGGAGCUAGUCAUAUUAGAUUAGAAAAUCAACCUGCUGACAUUUUUAUAGAUGCUCUAUGUUGUAAAGACCUUUGACCUACUUGCCUAAAGUUGGGUAAGCUUGAUCUAUGUGCCCCAACUUGGAGGGAUGGGUUGCUUAUUUGAUAAUCAGCACUGUAUGAUUGUCCUUAUGGUAUAAAGCUUUAUGCGUGCACGUUCGUGUAUGUCUUUGGACAGACUAAUAUCAUCAGGUGUCAUACAGGUAAUUACAACUCUAUAAGAGAAAGGGAAGCCCAACAUAAUGAAUUAGAUCUUUCUGGUUCUAUUGGAGGCAUAGACCCUCUUUCUCUUCUUUUAUUUUACCUUUACUAGAAUGUGCUAAAUGUGGUGCACAUGGUAUGGAGAUGGAUGACCUCCUAAAAAGAGCUCACACACUACUUGGGAGUUUGCUUUUAGUAAUACAAUAAUGUUCUGCAGAAGCCUGAAAACCUACUGCAGUCAUGUGCGCUAAAAUCUUGUGUUUGAGAAAAUUUAUUGUUCUUCAUCAUUAUACAAAGGUCUCAAGAAUGCUUAGACCAUAUUUUAAUAAAAUGCUGACAAAAUAAUGCUAAUUGUUUCUAAUUAUUUCUCAGUAAUAAACAACUAAUGCGACCUCAAUGAUGCGAAAUUUUCAUGAGUAGCAUGACUUUGUAACAGAAAAAGUACAGCCAACCCAGCCUGAAAUCAAAACAUGCAGCGAUUCCAUCUCUGCAGUACCACAAGCAAUGAGUCCUAUAUCAUGUCUUUGAACAAAAACCAACAACAGAAUGUUGGUUUCAAAGAAUAUGGAAGAGGAAGACUGAUAGACCAAGUACCUCCAAAUGCAAACUAGGGGUCAGACUAGGAAACGAAUACUGAUGUUGGCAUGUACAAAUACACCAUUCCCCGAUUAUAUAUUUAUAUAUAUAAAUCUAUGGUUAUAUUAAUGCAUUAUAGACUACAUUCUUCUUCACAAGACAGUUCUCUAUAAAUGUUGCUUCUAGGCUGAGCAGAAAGCUAGAAAUAUUACCCAUUGCAAGUCAGCAGACUCCUAAACCAACAAAAGAACUGGAUGGCUUAGAACAAAUGGCUCAUAGAUCAAAUAAUAUCUUUUAUGCAAAAGUACACAAAUACAAAGACCACUCUGCAUGAGUCACAUAGAUAAGGAUGAAUCAGAGUCUGACAUGCAUAUGUACAUCACAUAUAUAUAAAUGCCUUCACAGAUGCAUCCUGGUUUUCGUGGUGGAUCAACAAAGAGCAUUGAGAGUUACUUAACAAGAGCACAAAAUCUCACAAAUGUACAAAUCUUUGUAAAGUAGCAAUAAGAAGUAUAUAUAAUGGAAAUGUAAAACAAAAAUAGCAUAAUAUGUAAUCUUUUGAAUGAGGGGACAAGUGUUAUAAAGUUGCUUAUCGCCAUAAUGUGGAAUCAUAGUACUUGAAGUGACCAUGCUGACUAUUUGUGGUAAAGAAAGCCCCAACAAGGACAAAAUUCUGAAGUUAGAUAGCAGUCUGUGAUAUCAGCUACAUCAAUUGUAUCAGAUUGGGCAUUGUAAGUGGAGGUUGAAGUAGAUGGAAUAUAUAAAACACAAGUGAUAGAGCUCUGAAGAAAUUGAUUAGUAAUUCACGCAAAGAAGAUGCACGUGAAGAACCAACCAAUGAACUAAGAUAAGUUAAUUAUGUGAAAAGUGUGCUGCAUCAAGCCAUGUUAAAAUAAUGCAAAUUGAAGUACCAAUGGUAUGAUGACACUAGUAGGAUUUUGAAGGAUAUUUUUUCUAAAUAGCAGUAACCCAAAAAAUAAGUACGGUCAUUUGCUUAUUGUUAAGAACAGUAAAAUCUCACCAAAGUACAGGAGUUUGUGAGAAUAAUGUGGAGUGCAUUGGAAUAUAAGGCCAAGAUAAGAUGUAGGUAUGUUAGUUUGUGCACUCUUUGUCACCAUAUGAUAGCAAAACCAUAGAACUCACAGCACAAACCCUGGGGAAGGGGUAUUAGAACCUACAGAAGAUAUCAAAGAAUGUGAAGAUCCACAGCAUGAACCAAUCGAAGAACUUAGACAAUUGUUUAGAGAAAAAAGGAAAAGUAAGUCGAAGAAGAACUUAGACAAUCAAUGAAUGGCAUUCUAAUGAAGCUCCAAAUAAGUCCUGCAGUGUGCAGAUCACUAAGAAUGCAUUAGAGAGAUCAUGGAAGCGAUGUUAUUCUUGAAACAUUCGGCAACCAUCAGGGAAGCAAGCCCAAGAAAACAAGAAAGGUGGACAGAAUCCUUCACCUCAAAGCAUCAAAAGAAUUGAUCCUGUAGCUUAUAAAUCCAUUGGAGUACACUAUCAAUGGGGAUCAUGAUACACCAUAGAUGCUUGUGCUCGGUUCAGGCAAACUGUAUGGCUGACAUGAAGAAAGCAAAAUACUCAAACCAAGCACAUUAAUCCUGCAUGGAUUUAGAUAAAGCAUGAAGUAGGCAACAUACAUGGCAUGGUGGAUAAGGAAUCUUGGUUGUGACUGCAUUCAUGAUAGUCACAAGACUCACAACAAAGAGUCACACUAGUCAAGUUGAGCUUUGAACAAAAAUAAAAGACGGUUUAUACUUUAUACGGAAUUCCAAUCUUUUUAACAUUAAUCUAUGUUGUAGGAAAGCAUGUCAGUCAUACCAGAAGAGAAAAAAAAGGAGAAAAAUAAACAAAGAAAGAAAUGGCAGUGGUAAAAGUUAUAUUGUUAAAAAAAUUAUAGGAGUGUUUUGCUAUAUUUUUUGAGGAAAGUUACCUGGCACAAUGGAGUUUGUAUGGUUCUAUUAACUCGGGUUCCUCAGAUAACACAGAAAUAAAAAUUAGGAGCAAAAUAUCAAAGGGUACCCAAUAUACAAUUACGAGAAAAAAUAACCUAUAAUUUAUCAAUCAAUGAACUCUAGAAUUAAGACAUCCAUAUUAUUCAGCAUAAGAACAGAACAUAAUUAGACACAUUUUCCUGAAACCGAAUCAAAAUCCAACACAUUAGGAUCUAGAAUUUAUAGUUAGAAUUUCUCAACAUACAUGCCCGAAUUAUGUUCUGACAUCUUCACAGAGAAUGUUCAUUUUCACGUAGCAAACUGCAGAGCCAGAGGGCAGGAAUCGAAAAAUCUUCUAUCAGGGAAUGCUUUAAAGAAUCAAAAAUUUAUAGAUUAAUAGAACUAACAUAAAGUAAGUAGGUAGCAAUUUAAUUGGAGAUUAUAAAUGGAAGUGAACAGGAGAUUGCAUGUGAAAUUGAUGACUAAGAGGCACCUCGUUGUCAAGAUGUUAGCUAUUUUAAUUCCAUUAUAUAGAAGAAUAAAAGGAUAAAGCAUGGCAUAUCUAAAUGAUCAUCGAAUAGCUGAAAAUAAAAAAAAGUGUCAAAAUCCACAGAAAGGGCCCGUGCUGUUCAAGUGUGAGUUGCCAGUCAUCCAAUUUCGUUCUCUCUGCCAUUCCAUAUGCUCUAACGCUCAGUAAUAUUCCCAACCAGUGUUAGCUCGCCUCUUUUCUUAUAGCCAUAUCACAAAGACGAGGAUCCACUGAACUAUAUCUAUCCGGAUUAUGCACGAGUAAACUAGGCUAAAGUACACAGAAAAUUUCCAUCAAUUGAGAUUUAACUUAACUGAUGGAGUAAUGAGUAAAUUGCAUGGCAAAGUGCAACAAAGAUCCGAUGAGGUAUUCUGAAAAAACAGGAAAAGAUCUGAUAAGACUUUAAGGACGACGGCUUGUUCUUCAUUGAAUGAUGAAAUCAAUCACCAAGAAACAUUCACAAAGCCGAUUCAGAUAGUCUGAACAAGACUUAUUGGCUGCGGUCAUCACUAUAAUUAUCGAUCCUUUCGGGGUUUUUUUUCAAACACACAAAAAAAAAUCUCAGAACAGGUGCAAAAAACCAGUCAUCAAGACCCCGCAAAUCGAUACGACAGAACAAACACCGCAUAUAAGAAACAGGACACUACGAAGCAUCUUGGAAAAAAUAGAAAUUAAAGACACAAAGCUUCCAAACUUUUCAUACAGAGCAUCAAUAUGAGAUAAAGGAAUAAUAAAGCAAAGAACCACCACCAAUUCUUUUGGUUAAAGCAAAUAUAACACAGGAGUAAGAGUGCAAUGAUAAGCCACAAAUCCAGCAAGCCAUGAGAAAAAUAAAUAAACUCAAUACAGGCAGAAAAAUAUCCAAAAAAGAAAACAAAUAUUAGUUGGUAACACAAAGCCUAAAGUAUCGAGAAGAUGAAUGGAACCCUUAUAUACUUACUCUAUUCUGAGUGCUGGACUCCAGGGCCCUCUUUCUUAUUUUUCUUUCAGGCUCUGGUACAGGGUUUGCGGUUCCACCAACUUUUGGAGGGCCUUCUAUGAACAGAAAGAAAAAAUCCGCGAUAUUGACAAAAGUAAAGAGGAAGAAAUCUGAGAGAGGAGUGACUGGGAUUAUUAAAAAAAAAAAUGGAGACAAGCGAGGAAAAGAUCGAAGAAGGAGUUUUAAAAAGAAUGGAGAGAUAAGGAGAGGGUCAUCUGUCGGACCACUUUGUACCAUUCUAUUUUUGGAGGUCAGAAUGCUGCCAGGUGGAAGGCCAGGGGCCUCAAGCUUUCUCUCGCUGCGGUCCCUGAGUUGGAUUUUUUCCUCCAAGACUCCGGUAACGCCGCCUUCUCUCGUUGCCGUCCCUGAGUUGGAUUUUUUGUCCAGACUCCGUUAUUUUCCAUCAUAACAGAAAUACUUUUUGUUAUUUGUGAUAUCUGAUUUUUUUAAAUACAAUAAUGAUUAUCAUAAAAUUCUCUACUGAAGAAUUUGUCUAAUCCACAGUAACUCUGCUAAUCCACAGUAAACUCUGCUAAUCCACAGUAAAAUCUUUAUUUAUUUUUAUACAUGAGCAGCAUGCAUCCACUAUGCUUGUCAAGCAUGAGCCAUAAGUUGGAAACUGGCACGUCAUUUGUAAAAAAAAAGAUAAUAGUUAAUAGUUAUGCUGCUGACAAUUUUAGAAAAAAAAAUCCAUAGCAUGUAGAAUAUAAAUAUGGGGAUUGAUAACCUACUCUCUAUUAUGGUAGGUUAUCAAUCUACCCAUUUUUUUGGGACAAAAAGUAUCCUUACUUUUUAUAACUCUUAAGGGUAUUUUAUGUCUUUUUACAAUUCCACAUUAACUCACUCUCUCAACCUCCUAAUUAAUACUUUCUCUCUCUCAUAUAUAUAUAUAUAUAUAUAUAUAUAUAUAUAUAUAUAUAUAUAUAUAUANNNNNNNNNNNNNNNNNNNNAACCUACUUUCUGUUAUGAUAGGUUAUCAAUCUAUCCAUUUUUCAUUGGACAAAAAAUAUCCUUAUUUUUUAUAACUUUAAGGAUACUUUAAUAAGUCAUGGUGUAGAGGGCAGGACAACUGAACAUGGCUAUAUAUAUUUGGGAAAAGAUACUAAUUAAUACUUGUGUUUAAUAAUGAUUUUCCAUUUCUUGGUUUCAUUCAUAUGCGGUUGAAGGGUCUAACUAUGUUAGAGUUGAAGUACUACCUGCCUGCACACAAUAUCCUAGUUUCUGGGAAUAAAGUGGCUAUGAUUAUCAGGAUUUUAACUCACUUGGGUAAGUAAAUUUUUCUUGAAGUUCUACUCUUGAGAUGUCAUGCAGUUUUUUGGGUAUUAUCAAACAACACUGUCAUGCCCCCAAUCCAAAGUUAGAAGUGGAGGGCAUAGCAACUACCACAUGUUCACCAGCAUUAGUCCUAUAUGUGCAAGGCUUGGAACCUGUAAAAAACUAUAACAUAAUUUGAUCAAAAUAAUUUAUGCACAAGCAUUGGUAAAAUUAGAAAAUUUAAACUUCCAAAACAAAGUAUUUUAUGAUGAAAAAUAUCACCUCAAAAGAACUCAAAUAAUCUACAAAUAAUUUAAUUUCACUCAAACAACCGGUUCUGAUGCGUUCCUCUUUGUUUUUAUUUUCUUUCGAUCCAAAAUAAAAUAAAUAAUUCCUGUAGAUUGGUCCGAGGCAUGGCAUUACUGUCUUUAAAAGAGAUUCGCUUCCUUACGUGCACCAGAUUCUGGCGAUCCCUCUGCAAGAUAUAACGGACCGUUGAAUUUAUAGACAUGCACAGUACUACAAAUUUUCUUGAACUCGACAGAGACUUUUAUGUAUACUCGUACUCAUAGAAUGAAGAAACAAAACUUUAAAAUGAAAAAUGAGAAAAAUGAGAGAACUCUUCUUUUUCUUCUUCUUUUUUUUUUCUCCCUCGGUGUAGCCUUCUAUCUGGUUCACCCCUCCAAUGUUUACAUUUUAAUUGAGCUGUCCGUUGAGUUCUCCCACGGGCAACUCUACAUUAAUGAGUUUAAAUGGAGGGAUGGUUUCAAACCAUUCUGAUGAGAGAGAGGCGUUUCAAAUUUUAAAAAGAAACCUCUUACAUUCCCCACCAUUUUUGAAGUUUCAAUUUUUUUUGAAGAUAAUUUUGAAAAUGAAUUUUUUUUUUGAAAAUUCAAUGUACGAGCAAUCAGUACACUUAGUUUUCGAUGAAAGGUGUCUUCCGGACUUGAACCUUCAUCUAGUUGGUAUUUCGCCAUCUACACCGGUCUGAAGUGAAUAGAGUCUUGAACUUAGAUUUUAUGUAUAAAUUUUGAAAAUACCGAACAACUAAGAGUUGACCCUGCAUGUGAGUUCUAUCAGAGUAGUGUAUUACGACCGUGCGCAUGUAUCUUUUUUUGUAAGUGUCUCUUAGAGAACAAGCUUUAAUUCUCUAUUUGACUGCAGCCCCACAGUCACACUCACAUCGGUGAUAUCUUCAAGGGUAUACUGCAUCUCUAUACCCUACUAUAAUAGCUUUGAUAUCAUUAAAGCAUUACGCCAUCCUCCUAUCUAGUGCAGUUGAGCACCUACUCCAUAGAGAUGGAUAGUGAACAAAGUUUACUUUAAAUUUGGUGCUCCUACCAGUUACUCAGUCAGCUUGUNNNNNNNNNNNNNNNNNNNNAUUACGCCAUCCUCCUAUCUAGUGCAGUUGAGCACCUACUCCAUAGAGAUGGAUAGUGAACAAAGUUUACUUUAAAUUUGGUGCUCCUACCAGUUACUCAGUCAGCUUGUUUAUUCCAUUGAACCUACAUCUUGGGAUCUUCAGUCAGAUAGGUUGGGUUGCCGCUGAAGGUAACUCAAAAAUGGGCCUUAAACCUAUCCCCCUUGAAGCAUAUUGAACUUGUCCUCUCGACAAGCUCUUGGUCAGAUGAUCUGCCGAGUUCUCUACUGAUUUAAUAUAACUUAAAGUUAUAAUUCCAGUAAAGGUGAGCUUCCUUAAAAAUUUAUAUCGAAGCUUAAUGUGCCUAGAUGACUUUGAGUUGUGAUUUUUACUUUUUACUUUUGCUAUAGUCAUCUGAUUAUCACAGUUAAUUAGAAUAGUAGGAAUAGGCUUAUCCAUCAUGGAAAUAUCUGAUAACAUAUCCCUAAGCCAAUCUGCUUUUCCACCAGCUAAUUCUAAGGCUACUAUCUCAGCUUCUAUGAUGGAUCUAGUAAUCAAGGUCUGCUUGAAAGAUUUCUAAGUAUCAACACCACCAUCUAAUGUAAAAAUAAAUCAACUAGUGGCUUUAGUAUCUUCAAAAUCAGAGAUCCAGUUAGCAUCACUAUACCCUUUUAGUACAGUGGAAAAACUAGAAUAAUAUAUUCCAUAGUUGUUAGUACCCUUCAAAUAUUUAAGAAGCCUUUCUAUUGCAUCCCAAUGUGUUUUAUUGGGGUUACUGGUGUAUCCACUCAGUCUUCCUAUAGCAUAGAAGAUAUCUAGUCUUAUACAGUUAGAUAAAUACAUAAGAUUUCCAAUUAAUUGAAAAUACUUUAAUUGGGAAACACUAUCCCCACCAUUUUUCUUUAAUUUUAUGCUAGGAUCAUAUGGGGUGCUAACUGGCUUGCAAUUUUCAUACCUAUAUUUCUUUCACACCUUUUCAACAUAGUGAGAUUGACUCUAAACAAUCUCAUUUUGUGUCCUUAUAAUUCCGAUUCCUAAGAUUACUUUAGCUAACCCUAGAUCUUUCAUCUCAAAAUUGUCACUUAAGUAUUUCUUUACUUCUACAAUUGUGACAUGGUCACUACUAAAAAUUAAAAUAUCAUCUACAUAUAAAUAUAGGAUAAUAAUAGACCUAUCAAAUAUUCUCCAAUAUAGACAUUUAUCGAAGUCACAAAUGUUAAAGCCAUAGUAAAGAAAGAUUUAAUGAAAUAAGAGGAGAAUUAUGUAUUUGCGACCCUUUUUAAUUAAAUCUAAGUGUAAAUAUUGUUUGAAUGCAUAUUUGGUAUGAUUGAUUCUUUUUAUUCUCGUCUUUAAAUCAUUUUCAGUGGUUUUAAAUUGAAGAUUUUAUUUACAAAUUUAUUCUUUGAUUUAUGAAGAGACGAUUCAUGAUAAUGAGGAGUCGACUCAUGGAGUGAAGGGGAGAGUUUUGAAUCAUAAAGAAAUCUAACUCGACUCUUUCUCAAUUAGAAGGGACAGCUCACUCAGUCAGGAGUCGACCCCUACUCUACUUGAGUCGACCCAUGAAACAAAUGAAUCGACCCAUGCUGCUCUGGAAUUGUUUUCUCCCAAAAUGAUACUCUCUUUCAAAAAUGUUUCCUCAAAACGUUUCAGUCGUUUCGAAAGUUCUCUUUCAAAAAUAUUCCGCCUUCCUCCUCUCCUAAAAACAAAAUUCUAAAACUCUCGUGUGGUCCCGGCCGAUCCCUCAUGGCUCCUAGAAAGCAAGUGGCAUCUGGACCAAAGAGAAAGGAACCCAUCGUGCAUCCAGAAAGAAGAUCCAAGGCACGAAUAGACAGAACAAUGAACCCACAAAUCCUCCACCAUCUCAGCAACAAUCCGUUCCAUCCUCACCUGUUUCGUCACCUUCUUCCCCCAUUCCAAGAAUCAUUCCACUUUCAACCCGAACAGUGUCGACCGGAAGAAAGGUAGACUUUUAAUUUCUGAAAAGAAAAGAGUUUCACAUUGGGGUAAAUCUGAAAGAGAUGGGUUGGAAAUAUGUGUGCUCUCGAGACCUGCCUACCUACACAGACCUUGUGAGAGAAUUCUACUGCAAUGUUUGGUAUGGGAAUGGACAGAUCUCAUCCAAGGUCAAGGAUAUUCCCAUUCUCAUCACGGAUGAAAUCUUAGGGAAUAUAAUUAGGGCUCCCAUUGAUGGAGAGGACAUCGACAUGUGGAAGAUAGAAAUGAAGGAGUUAGGUUGAUUCUAAUGUUGUUGGUAAACCAGAAGAAAUAAAGGCAAAUCAACUGAAUGCUGAAAUGAGACUCCUUCAUCAUAUCAUCAAUCGGAUGCUAUUUCCAAAAACAUGCUGAUUUGAUCAUGUGUCUGAAAGGAAUAUUCUAGUGAUGCACCACCUACUUCAAGGCUACUCAUUGAACCUUCCUUCCAUGAUGAUAAGACAUAUGGCUAAUCUUGGACGGAGAAAGGGAGCAUCACUCCCUAAUGGUAUGGUCCUAACCCUUAUCUUUAUUCGCUAUGAUAUCAGUCUUCAAGGAGAAACUAAAAUGGAACUCAAGCACACUGAUAUCUACAGUGAAAAAUCAUUGAAAAGAAUGGGAUUCAUUAAAGUAAAUAACCAGUGGAUUCAUAAAGGAGAAGAAAGGCAAGGAGAAGCUAGAGAAGAGGUAGAAAGGCCAGUUGAAGCUGAGCAAGCUAGUGCAGGAUCUUCUUAGAAGACACCUAGCACUAGUUCACAAAAAGAAAGGCCACCUGUAAAGUCUCUCAGGCUUGAAAGAGACCAGUUAAAGUUUAUUGGAGAUCAUAUACUGCAAGAACUUUUUCAUUCAGGAGUUUGUUGGAAUUUAGUUUUUGACCUGAUUGAGAUGGUAAAAGAAGUAAAAACUGAGAUGGAGAGUUUAAGAUCACUUGCUGCCAUCCAACAAAGAAUACUUAGAGUUAUUGAAGAAAAUUUUAGGCAACAAGAAAAUGAAUUCCUCGAGUCACUGCAGUAGAUAAAAGAAGAAAAACUCGCAGUUGACUGCAUGCCUCUCUGCUCCGGAUUCCAAAAUCAAAAAGUUCUUGGGGAACAAGGAGGCCAAUCAGCUUGGACCAUUUUCUUAGCCUAGAUCUUUUCAUCUAGGCUGAUACCUUCUCCUAUCAAAACUUGAAACCUCUGUUCAAAUGUUUUUCACGUCCUUUUGUCUUUCAUUUUUCACAAUUACCUUCACUUAAUAUGUAAACAUCUUUUGUAAAUUGCUUGGUUAUCAAUGAAAUGACUGUUUAUUUUCACAGAACUAUGUCUUCACUGCAAUCUUUAUGUUCAAGCUUGUAUGUUUUGUUUGUCUCCAAAGCUCUGAUACAUUUACAAAUCAAAAUACUUUGAUGCAUUACCAAUUCUAAAAUAAUAAUGCUCUGAAAUCUUGGCACUGAUACUCGCUCUAAUUACUGCACUAAUACUUGCACUGAUACUCUAAUUCUGUGAUGACAAAUCUGAACAUUCUAUUCAGUUAUUCCCUUUAACUCUUAAUACUUAAUGAUCUGAAAGUAGAACAUUUUCUAGCACCUCACCCUUUUGUUGAUGACCAAAAAUGGGAGAAGUAAAAAAAUUUCAAAAAGGGGGAGAAGUAAGAGAAUUUCGAAAAGGGAGAGAAGAAAAAGAAUUGUCUUGGAGAAAUAGUGGUAUCAAGAAUUUUAUUGGAGAAAAUUGAUCAAAAUCAUUGGAAUCAAAUGACAAAAGAUAGGGAGAGAACUGAAAAGAAAAGAAACUUAGACCCCUGCUUAACUUAAACUCUUAUAAUAAAAAGGGGGAGAAGCAUAAUUUAUUUGAUCAUAAUAUAAAGGAGGAGAUUUUCUCAUAUUAAAUUUACAUAUUGAAGUUUUUUUAGAUUCAAUAAUGCACAUGUUCUGAAUUUUUUGAAUGUCUUUUUGUUUUGCUCUGAACUUUAUUGCAAAAAAUGCUCUGAAUAUUAUUGCAAAAUUCUUUUAGACUUAAUAGUUUUGUCAUCAACAAAAAGGGAGAGAUUGUUAACGCUAAAGGAUGAAUUUUGAUGGUCACAAAAAAUUGAUUAAAUGUGUACUCUAAUGUUUUUGUCUUAAGUGUGAAGGUUUAAAUUUCAAGAAGAAAAGAGCACUUACAACCUCCAAAGAAUUAAGAAAAAUCAAAGGUCUCUGAAGUUCUGUCUGUUAUCUGAAUGAGUCGACUGAUGUAGUAAAUGAGUCGACCCCUGUGUAGUUCAAGAAAGACAGAGAAGAAUCAUUGCUUGAGACAAGUUAGAUGAGCUGACCCUUAUGUUUAAAGAGUCGACCCAUUAUCUGAAUGAGUCAACCCCUGUGUAGUUCAAGAAAGACAGAGAAGAAUCGCCACCUGAGACAAGUUAGAUGAGCCGACCUUUAUGUUUAAAGAGUCAACCCAUUAUCUGAACGAGUUGACCCAUGUAGAAAAUGAGUCGACCCCUAUGCAGUUCAAAGAAGACAGAGAAGAAUCACUGCCUGAGACAAAUUAGAUGAGCCAACCCUUGUACUUAAAGAAUCGACCCAUCAUCUACAUGGGUCGACCCCCGAUAUUGAAAAGUCGACCCUUUGAGGCCAGCGUAAAAAUUUUAUAUGAACUGAAGGAAUGAGCCGACCUUUGUGCUUAAAGAGUCGACCCAUUAUCUAUAUGAGUCGACCCCCGAUAUUGAAGAGUCGACCCUUUGAGGCCAGCACAGAAAUUUUGUAUGAACUAAAAGAAUGAGCCGACCCUUGUGCUUAGUGAGUCAUCCCCAUCAGUACAUGGGACAAUCCCUGAAUUUGGAGGGACAACCCCUGUUAUCCUGACUAUUCCAACAGCUACUUUCGACGGGAUCUCCUUAGGUCUCAACGGCUAGUUUUUUGGUCUAACGGCUAGUUGGUGCUUCCCAAAUAGCAUGAAGCCUAUAAAUUUAAAGGAGCGCUAAAGAAAGACAAGAGAGGAACAAGAGAGAAAAUUCAAAAUUCAAAAUUCAAGCUUCCAAAAAUCAAAUCCUCACAAGAAAGCUUUCAAAGAGAAAAACCAUUUUAUGAAAAAAUCCGUUGGGGAUAUUCAACAAGAGUUGCUGCUGUACAAUCAAGAUAUUCAGCUGCAGCCAAUAACCAUCUUCAAAGCUUCACAUGCAUGUUUAUUGUUUCAUUUAUUUUUAAGCUUUGUUUACUUUGUUACCGCAUUUAUUACUUAGCUUUAACUCUACUGUAAUAGUUUCAUUUAUUCUAAAACUGAUAAAGGUUCUUCCAAACUUGAAUUGAAAGUUGUUGAAUUUUAGAAUUCAACAAGGGUAAAUGUUUUGGUUGGUGAUCUGGUGAAAACUGACUGGGUUGUCUGUGAUCCCGAAAAACAAACGGGUAAAGAUUUUGGUUGGUGAUCCAUUAAAAAUUGAUUGGGUUAUUUGUGAUCUCCAAAAACAAAUAGAUAAAGAUUUUGGUUGGUGAUCCUGUGAAAACCGACUAGGUUCGUUGUGAUCCUCCAAAAAAAAAUAACAAGUUGGGUUGUGAACUCGAAAAACAACCACGCUGUAAUGAAGGAGGUUAUAGUAAAAUUUUCAAGAGUCAUGGGGAGUGGAUGUAGGUGUGAGUUACACCAAACCACUAUAAAUUUUUUGUGUUUGUAUGUGCUUGUCUUUUUAUACUUAUCUUUUAAAUUCUGCCCUCAUUCAUUCAUUUGUUCAGCAUUUGUAUCUUUCAAAUUGAAAUUAUCAUUUAUCUGCUGCAUUUAGUUAAAAAAAUUUUAUAACCCAAUACACCUCCCUUCUUGGGCUACAUAUCUCGGCAACACUUAAGUUUGCAAUAGAAUGGCCAUGUCAUGAUCCGGAUUCGGAGCAUGACAAUCCUUCUCCAUCAAUAGAGCAUUUGUAUUAGUUGUUUUUAUUUUUGCCACCACAAGAGUAGUUAAAAUUUAUAUUGGUGACAAACUUGAAAUUAUUAACAUAAGAAAUAAAGAUUAUAAGUAUUAUUAGGGAUAUUUUAGAAAUAUAAGUAAUUUAUGGGGCUCGAAUUUUUUCAAUUAAAACAAUUUCUCAUGUUAACAUGGAUGUGGGUAUUCUAGUGGUUCAUAUGGAUGGAUUCAAUUCAUAAUGGAUGAUGAAGUCACGACAUGCUAGGCCAAAACAUGCCAUUGCAAGGAACUCAUGGGGUGAUUUAACAAUAUAGGGCCUUUUUGAAUGCUUAUAUACCUUAUCUAUUAUCUAUUAUCUAUUACAUGACUAUUUACAAAAUUGAGGCUUAGCUUGCAUGGAGCUCUCUAUCGACCAUGAGGACAUCAAAAUCAAUAAGGUUAGCAUCAUUACAUUUAAUUGCUUAAUGUGUAAUUUACAUUAAUGAUAUCAAUAUCAAUAUGGUCGGCCAUUAUUAUAGUUAAUUUCUUAAUGCGUAAUAAAUAUUUGGUUAUUGAAGUUUUCUAUUUAUUAUAAUUUGUUACAUUGUAAUAUUGUAUUUCAAAAAUAAUUAAAAGAAGAGAAAAGAAUGAUACCCCCAUGUGGUGCAGGCCAAUUAAUGAUGCCAAUAUUAAUGAUAGAAAUUUCAAAAUUAAUCAUGUGGAUAUUAAUGACAGAAGUUUCAAAAUUAAUGAUGCUGAUAUUAAUAAUAGAAGUUUUGAAAUUAAUGAUGCUAAUAUUAAUGACAAAAUUUUUAAAACUAAUGAUGUGGAAGUUUCAAAAUUAAUAAUGCCGAUAAUAAUGACAGAAGUUUCAAAAUUAAAGAUACUGAUAUUAAUGACAAAAGUUUUAAAAUUAAUGAUGUUGAUAUUCAUGAUAGAAGUUUCAAAAUUAAUGAUGCUGAAUUAAUGACUGAAGUUUUAAAAUUAAUAAUACUGGUACUAAUGAUAGGAGUUGGAGAUUUUGUGUCACCAUCAUAUUAAAGUUUAUUGCUUAUUAUGUUGCUAUUGAAGCCUCCUAUUUAUUAUCAUUUGUUACAUAUUAUAUUUCAAGAACAGUUAGAGAAAAAGAAAAAAAUGUACCUCAUGCAUCGCAUGGGUUAUAUACUAUUAUUAUAUUUAUUUAUUACAAUAUGUGCUGGAGGAGGAAAAAGAGUAGGGAGAGAAAGAAGAAACUAGUGCACCCUAAGAAAUCUUAGGUUACACAAUCUUCAGUUUACUAGGAGACUAGAUUCUAUUGAUAAAUUAUAACACAAGCUAGAGGUAAAGAAAGGAUGAAUAGAAACAAAAGGAAAUUGUCACGCCUCAUAUUUAGAGCAUGAUUUGUCGUGCCUCAGAUCCAUAGCAUGACACAGCCAUACUAGCGAGGGGUACAACCUAUGAUAAUAUGAAGCUAAUAUUAUAUUUAACUUUCAGAUCCAACACAAAAAUAAUAAAAUAAAUAGGAAUCCAAUUUGAUUAUUUAUUAAAUAAAAUCAAUAUUAGUUCAGAGCUUCUAAAUCGCAACAUAUAUUUCAAACCCAUAAUCCUCAAAAUUCAAAAAAAUAUUAACUACAAAUUAAUAGUUAAUUUAAAAUACUAAGAUUCUUUCACAAAAUUAUCAAGUUUGUUAUUACAACCUCCAAGCUAACCUUCGUCCUACUGAUCUUAUUUGCCCAAGGAGAAAAAUAAAAUAGAGGUAUAUGAGCCACACAUCUCCGUAAGUAAACCUUUUACUACCUUAUCGGAUCAAGCAUAAGUUUUUCUUUGUCAAUACAUCAUUUAAAGAAAAUAACAAAUAUUACAAAAUAAAUCGUUUCAUAGUAUAUUAUAUAAAAACAAGUCAUAAAACCAAUAAUAUAUGCAUAAAUCAUUUAUAAAAUAUGGUUCCUCGUGUAUAGCAUAAAAUUAUAAAUCAUUUAUCAUUGAUCAAAUUACUACUCUCAGACUAAAUGCUAAGAUCACUAUUAUAUCUAUGACAGGGCCGUAAUCAAUAAACAUCAACUAAUAUUACCCGUUGGGAGGGUCAUAUGCCAACUACUAUUAUCCGUUGUUAGAGUUGUAUGCUAACUACUAUUAUCUACUGGCAGGAUCGUAUGCCAACUACUAUUAUCCAUUGACAGAGUUGUAAAAAUUGAAUGUCGAUUUACCCCACUUUUAGGGGUUAUACAUAGUUAUCUGAGACCCUUUUCGCCAUAGUUAUUAAGAUAACUUUCUUAAAUCCUAUUUCUCAAAUUAUAUUUUUUUGUAUCAUACAUGAAUAAAAUAUUAAAUGUCCUUAUGGAUUCAUUAAUUCGCACUAAAUCAUGAGUUUCAUAAUAUCGUAUGCUUGAUCCUUAAUUUUAAGAAGACAUGAUAUCAUCAACGUUUAACACUAUUUUUAUAUUUUUAUAAUACCAAAAAAAUAAAUAGAAAUUUAAAAACUAGUCAAGAGUAUAAGAUUUACUUACUCUGUUCGACCAAAGAUCUCUAGAUUCAGUUGAGCAACUCUGCUGCACCUAUCAAAAUUAUUUUAAAAUAAAUUAGUUGCUAUUCUCUAUUUAAAAUCUUUAAGCAAUCUGAAAUAGAUUUGAGCAGACUUCAGAUCUCGACUGGGUAAGUUUGUAGUGGAUCUAUAAAUCUAGUAGAGAGAGAAUGGUUGUACCAAAGAUGGGAUCUCUUUCUCUCUCCUAAUUUUUAUUUAUUUAUUUAUUUCAUUUUUUUAUCGUUUCUUCUUCUUCUUCUCUUUUCUUCUUUAUUCUCUUCUUUUCUUCAUUGCCCUUUUAUCUCUUUCUCCCUCUUUUCUAAACCCACGCCACUGAGAAGUAGGGGAAGGGGAGGAAGGGCCUCCGGCCUGGCGGCGGCUGCGGCUGCGGCCGAAAGCCGGUGACGGUUGCGGUCGAGGAUCGCGGCAGGUUGGAGCAGCCACCAAAGGAAGCAGGGUAGGAACAGAGGAGGGAAGAGGCCUCCGUCCCGGCAGUGGCACAGCUAAGGGCCGGCUGCGGCGAGGCCAAGGACCGUGGGAAUGACCACUAGGUAAGUGUUCUCCCUUUUCUUUUCUUCUUCUUCUUCUUCUUCUUCUUUUCCUUGUCCCGGUGGCCCUUUGCUGGAUUCCGGCCAUUGUCGGUCGACCGAAAGGAGGGAGAGGAAGUAGAGGAGACGGAAAGGGAAUGGGAUGAAAGUGAAUCCUAGGUUCUUUGGUGUUAAGCAUGCUGUAAUUUUUUUUUUUUUGAAAACCAUGGCUGAACCUGAUCGGGUUGCCUACGUACCCCUUCAUAAGGGGGAUUAAGCCAUACGUAGUACUUUUUAAGUUUUAAAAUGCAGCGGAAAAACCGAAUCAAACAAUUUAAUUCAUGUAUGCUUACAAGAUCAAAUCUAGAAAUCAGUACCUUAAGAAUACAUAAGAUUAUGCCGAAAUCGUUUAAACAAUUAUGCUAAAACUUUCAUGCAUGAUUAACUAUCAGAUCUGAAAGGUAAACACUCUAUUCUGAUUAAUCUUCGAAUAUCCAUCGAAUGGAUUCUGGAGAUAUCUCCGUGAGGAGCCCCAAAAGAGGGUAAAACCUCGGAGAAUCGGACCUACAUCUUGACACCAUAAUAAAUGAUUAAUGCUAGAUUAAUACCUUUUAUGAUGGAUGAAAGUUGUGGAUAUGAUCCUUGACUUCGCAGUCACGCACAUGAAUGGUCUCUAUGAGAAGUACACGCGAAGUUCCUGAAGAGAUCCAAUUCUGCGGAAGUGCUAGCUUGCGCAGAAUUUCUUGAGGCUGAAAUUUGAUCUUCCCAACGCUAUCAACUUUUGAUCCGCCUUCUUGGAAGAACUUGGAGGAAAGGUUUAGAGGGAUUGAAGAGGACUUAGAUCUGAUCUAAAGACUCUUAUGAUCAGGGACCCCUAAUACUAAUGGCUUGAUGGACUUAGAGGAGGAAGAAGUCGGCUAGAUUGAAUGCAGAAUUUUUCCAUGCAUGAACUAGGGUUCCUCUCUUUUCUUUUCCCUUUGUUUUCUUCUUUUUCUCUCUUUUUUCUUUAAUUCGACCACCAGCUGAUGGAGGUCCUUUUAAUGUUGCUAUCCUCUCUAACUUCAUGCCAACCAUCCCAUAUUUGAGGAGGAUUUUGUGGGGUUUUGAAUUUUGAAUUCAAAAUUCAAGUUCAUGCGCCAUUACAUGAUGAAGCUUGAUCUAAUCUAAACCAUUCACCAUGUUGCCACUUUCCUCUUUCAAUUUCGAAAUUUCCAUGCCCCCAAUCAGAUUAGAGAGUCACGUGGUGAUUUUGUGGUGAUUAAAUUCGAAAUUCAACCUUAAUUAGAAGUAAGAUAAAGAUAAGGAUGACAUAUGCCAUGAAGAGAGAAAAUUUGAUCUUAUCCAAUUCUUUUCAUGAAUUUAUCUCUCCAUGUCACCCCAUCUGAUGAUGAAAGAGGUCCAUGAUGUUGCCAAGUAUCCCAUGGCACCAUUAAAUAAAUUAAAUUAAUUUUUAAUCAUAUUAAAAAUUAAUUUAUGGCGCCAUGCAUGGAUAUGUGACAAGUGGAUUUCAAGAUCCGAACAGUUUUAGAUCAAACCUAUUUAAUUUAAUUAAAUCCUAACAAUUAGAAUGAUCCAAUUACCAUGGGUUGAACCUAAUCCAAUUAGGUCAAUCCCUAAUUAAGCACAAAUUUAAUCUAAUUUAAUUUGGUCAACCUAAGUCCUCUUGAUUCAGACCUAAUCCAAUUAGGUCAAAAAUCCUGAUUGAGCCCAGAAUUGAAUCUAAUUCAAUUUGGCUCAUCCUUAGUCUAAUUAUUCAAUCCAAUUGAGUUCAUUAGCAAACUAAUUACUAAUUAAUCCUUCGAUAAUUACUUUAAUUAUUUUAUAAGAUAAUUUAUCAAUCGAAUUGACCAAAUUACUCCUGAAUGAUUCUUAAUCAUUCAUCAGCCUUCUUGAUCAAUCAGGAAUCUUCUAUGCGUGUGACCUCAUGGGUUCGAACCUAAGCCGGUAGUAUAGGAACGACUUCCUACACUAAUCGAUGUGACCAUCUAGCAAUGGUACCCGACGUUUNNNNNNNNNNNNNNNNNNNNNNNNNNNNNNNNNNNNNNNNNGAACUAUGGUUACUGUAUAAUUCAAUCCCUUUGACUCCUAAUGCCAGGAUGACUUAGAGCUCACUGUCAACCCUAUAAUUAGUAUAUCCAUUAUGUGAUUAACUUUAGAUAUCUCGUGACUCCUCACUGGGUUACCCUGGCCAAGGUUUUGCUAAAUUAAUCACAAGACAUUAUCUCCUGUUUCCAAGAGGGGUCAAUUCCAUCUCGACUCACAACUGACUAUGCAAGUACUUGACUGCACCCAGUGACCUUCCGUCACUGAAUUAGAAAUCCAGAUAGUCCAGUACCAAAGUACAAUGAGUUGCUUGCUAGUCACAGGUUGCGGUCUCAGGUCAGAGGGCCAAACUUAUACCCAUAUCCACUCGGAACAUCUCUUGACAGUAGAGCGUUCCGAAAUUGGUCACGUUCAGUGAAAUGUACUCCUACACUUUACCUGUGUGGCAUACCAGUGUCUCUACACUCCUUGGUUAGGAGGACAACCAACGUAUAUGUCACACAAUGACCUAAUCUCGAUAAGACUGUCAUCCUAGUAACAACAUAUCUCAUUUGGUCGCGAACUGAUUUAAGGACUUGAAGAUAAAUCCUCCUUUAUCAUUAAUAAGUCCUAAGGACUUCAUCAUAUAAGAGUUCAUUUGAAGAUGUAAAAUGAUGAAUAAUGCCAAAUAACACUUUAUUAAUUUAUCAAUUUAUUUACAAAAUUCAAUCAUCAAUAUGCUGAGGGUUGACUAUUAGGAUACAAUUCCCAACAUGGAAGACCUUACCUCGCUUUGGUGAGGCGCUGCGAUCCCAACCUCCAGCGACACAAGCUAGGGCACGGUGAACCCAAGCAAAAGAAGGAAGAAGGGAAGAGAGAAAGAAAGGGAGGAGAGGAGAAAGGGAGGAAGAUGGAGGAGGGAGAAGGAAGGAGGAAGGAGAAGAACGAUGGGUGGAGGUUCGGGUGGAGUGGGGUUUUUUAUAACCUCCAUUGGAAGAUGAUAAGCUCAGACGGUUGCACAAGCCGGUUGUUCGGAGGUUACGGCUGUUCGGCGAUUAUAACGGCCUCUAAUGGCCGUCGUGGAGCUGCUUGGGUAGGGGACCGCAAUCCCUUGUUCUGAUGGAGCAAAGCCCAGCUGGGCCUGCAGACUUUGUUUCAGGUCAGGCCCAGCUAGCCUGGAUCUUACACUCUUCUCUCUUUAAAAAAGUUCCAUCUUCAAAACUUAACAUACCUUCGCUCAUUAAUAAAUAAAAAUACUUAGUAUUUUCUACUCCACCAAACUUUUAUUGCGCAACUCUGAUCUAAACAAACUCUUCUGAGGCCCAAAACUCUAGAAUGGUUUGUAUUAACCCUAACCUUCUCUUUUUGUUGCUCAUUGUCACCUAUCAAAAUACUAACAUUAAUCGAUUUCUAUAGUUAAGAAAAUCUAUUUUUUCUUAUUCAACUAUAUGGAACCUAACUAAAUGAGACCUAACUAUUCAUUGCUAAACUUUAAGUUUUAUCCAUGAUUAAACCUAUUGCUCUGAUACCAUUUUUGUCAUGCCCCAGAUUCAGAGCUUGAUUUAUCGUGCCCCAGAUCCACAGCACGAAACAACUGUGCUACCGAGGGGUACAACCCACGAUAAAACGAAGGCAACAUUACAUUUAACUUUCAAAUCCAACAUAAAAAUAAUAAAUUAAAUAGGAAUCCAGUUUCAUUAUUUAUUAAAUAAAAUCAAUAUUGGUUUAGAGCUUCUAAAUCAAAAUAUAUAUACCAAACCCAUAAUUCUCAAAAUUCAGAAAAUCAUUAAUUGCAAAUUAAUAGUCAAUUUAAAAUAUUAAAAUUUUUCUACAAAAUUAUCAAGCUUGCUAGUACGACCUCCAAGCCAACCUUCGCCCCUACUAAUCUUAUUUACUUAGAGAGAAAAAUAAAAUAGAGGUAUAUGAGUGACACAACAGAGGAAGGAAGAAGGGAAGAGGAAAGGAAGGGAGGGAGAUAAGAAAGGGAGGAAGAUGGAGGAGGGAGAAAAGAGGAAGGAGAAGAAUGAUGGGUGGAGGUUCAGGUGGAGUGGGGGUUUUUUAACCCCCAGAGGAAGAGGAUAAGCUCGGACGGUUGUAUCAACCAGUCGUUCGAAGGUUACAGCUAUUGGGCGGUUACGGUCGUUCGGCGGUUACAGUUGUUCGGCGGUUACAACUAUCUCUAACAGUUGUUCGAGCGUUUCGGUCAGGAAAUUGUGAUCCCCUGUUUUGAUGGAGCAAAGCCGGCUGGGCCUGCCGACUUUAAUCCAGGUCAGGCCUAGCUCGCCUGGGUCUUAUAGAAAUUGUCCUGAUCGAAAAAACCCUACAUCACAUAAUCUCUAAUAAAUUGGGGUAUUAUAUUCCAUUUAAACAUGUUAAAAAGAUGAACUCAUGAACAGGAUUUUCUAAGUAGAUUUCUACAAAUGCCGAAGGGAACACCUAAGCAAUAACUUCCUUACAAGUCUUGUGCUACUAUUGUGUGCAUGGCCAAUUGCACGGGAGCAGCCACAUCAAUGCAAGUGCAUGCAGACGAUUGUUUGAGUGGACCAAAAGAUGAUCUUUAGCAUCAUGAGGGUUUUGGAUUACAUGAUCAAGAUUCUCUAAUUAUCUGAGAAACGAUGCCACACGACUAUCUAGAUAGGGCCACAAUGUAAUAUGAAAUUUACAAAAAAUUAAAUAUAAUCUUUUAGCUACAUCUUGAAUCUCCAAGCCAUUUUCCCCUUCUAAAGCCUAUUCGAUAUAUAAUUAUCUGAAGGUGAGGAGUGUCCAAAUAUCAUGACUUGAGCUACAUCCUGCCUCCUCAAGAUACGAGUCGUAUAUGCUUUAGAUGUGUAAUUGAAACUAAGAAAUUAAAGACCAUCUAGGACUCACGCAUGCAUAGAUAGGUUUCAUUAUACUACUAAAUAUGGUCCAGCAGCUGUUGUCUGACCUGUAGUGAAAAUUGGGCAUUCUUAACAAAUCUCCUGGGAUCAGAGUUUCGGCAAUACUAUGAUUUCUAAGACUGCAAAUGGGUUGGGUCAACCCGUGACCCGACCCGACCCGACCCGAUCCGAAUUUUAGGACCCACGGGUCCGGGUUGGAUCCUAAAAUUGGGCCCGAAUCAUUUUCUGGAUCGGGUUUGGAUUUACCGAAUGGACCCAACUCGGCCCGAAUGGACCCGAAGAGAGAGAGAGAAGAGAGGAAAAGCAAAAGAAAGUCAUUUUUUAAAACUAUUAUUUUAAGAAAGUCUCCUCAUAUAAUGUAGUUUUCUCUAAAACUAUUAUUUACUGUUAAAAUGAGAAAAUAGCAGCCAAUUUACCUAGAAAAGCAUUGCGCUGGAUUUUUAGGAAGUAAAAUAAUCCAUCCCAACAACCAUCGUUAUCCACUCUAAGAAAAUAAUGGAUAAUAUUAAAGAAAAAAGCUAGCUGCUAAUUUUAUAACAACCUUCAUUUUUUAAUAGUGAAAAAUGAGAUUAUUUAAUUAUGUUACUUUCCAUAAGAUAAUAUCUUAUUUCUAAAUUGUGCAUGAGUAUUCAAACUUGAAAUUUAUCAUUUUAAGCAAUGAACCAUCCUACCACCCAGCAUUUGCUCCGCUUAAAAAAUCGGCAAGAGAUUAGGGGUUCGAUGCUGGUUGGGAUCAAUUCUGAAGAUGGAAUAAGCAGAAAGCAAGCAAAAAGAAGAAGAAAAUUAACCCCUUCCUGUUUAUAUAUAUAUAAAAAAAAUUUAUAUCACUUAUCAUCAAUUCAUCAUGAACACGGACGGGGUAUUUAGGGAAGGCAAUAAAAAUAUCAUUUAAUUAAAGUUGAUACAAACAUGAAGGAAAACGGAGAGCAACUACCCUGAUCUCCCAUACACAGUGGAUCCAGACAUGAACACCAAGAGAAAGCAACUACUGAUCCGUGUCAUUCCACCAUUUCUACCCUUCAAUUCGCUGCAGAAAAUAAAAUGAUAAACUUAGGAAAAAAAGAAAAUAAUGACUACCGGUCCAUUUCACAUAUUAACAGGUAGACAGUUCUUCGUACAAUAAGACAAUAUUAUGCCAUAUCAAUCUGAAUCAGACAGUAUGAAAUGUACCAUGCGCUCGUAUUGCUGACACUUUUGUAACGUUUUAUGAAGCGUUGCUAAUAAAACCAACAACACUUAUAAGCAUCGAUAUAGAUAAUAAAAAUCAUCGGUAAUGUUUAAUUUUUUUGCAGUGCGUAGUGUACUGAUUUAAUAUAGAUGUUUGAUAAGGGUGGCAUACCGAUAUUAGGUACGCUAAAAAAAUUCGUAUCGAACUAUAUUAUACUAAUAUGAAUCGAAUCUCGAAACGAGAAUCUGGCACCAGUGGCUUUGGUUACCAUAAACCUUUGUCUGCCAGCUAUGCCGUAUUUAUUUCAAUUCUGUCCUCACACCAACCCUAGCAAGAGUGCAUUCGCUCCACCCUUCCUCUCUCUUUAUAUAAACACCAACGCCCUUUCAUCCCACUAAAGGAGAAAGAAUCCCAAAGCCGCACACACCGCCAUGGCCCAUGUCUUGGUCCUCCCAUAUCCCAUGCAGAGCCACAUCAACCCCAUGCUCCAGUUUGCGAAGCGGCUGGCCGUCAAGGGCCCCCGGACCACCAUCGUCGUCACCCGCUUCAUCAUCAACACCAUCGACGUCGACGCUGGCCCGGUCUCCGUCGAGCCCAUCUCCGACGGCCAUGACGAAGGCGGCAUGCAGUCCGCCGUCAGCCUCGAAGACUACUUCCAAAAGCUCGACGAGUUCGGCUCCAAGACCCUCGAGGAGCUGAUCCUGGCCCAUGAGAAGUCUAACACUCCCUUCACCUGCAUGAUUUACGACAGCUAUGUGCCGUGGGGCCUCGCGGUGGCCAAGAAGUUCGGCCUGCCGGUGAUCGCUUUCUCGACGCAGUCAUGCGCUGUAAGUGCUAUUUACUACUAUGUCCGUGAAGGGAAGCUUGAUGUCCCCAGGGUGCAAGCUAUUGAGUCCUUCGAGGGUUUGCCGCCGAUGGAGAGAUCGGAUUUCCCUUCAUUUGCUUUCAGGGAUGGAUCAUACCCGACCCUCACCGCAUACGCUCUGAAUCAGUUCAAGACGGAGAAGGAUGACUGGGUCCUAUUCAAUUCAUUCGAUGAGUUGGAGAGCGAGGUGAGAUGUGUUUUAAAUAGCUAUCUUCUUUUCUCACGCUUGCAUUGAUAUGUAUGAACACAUGCACUGCACCGCAUGCUAUAUUUUUGGAAGCUGUUGAUGACUCAUGGUUCCUUGUCAUGAGUUUUAAUUUACUAGACCCAUACCCUUGAUUCAGUGUAUUCUAACAAAAACCACACACGACCUAGAUCUAAGCUAUCAGCUGUCAUACUUAAAAUCUGAUUGUUUUCUGAAGAGAAAAAGGGAAAUGAAGAAGUAUUGUUUGCAAAGACCUAAAUAGGAGGUCUGAUCUCCUCAUCUAGCUCAACGAAAAAAGUAAUUCUGACCUAUAUAUAAUGCAAAUGUAUCUAUAAAACCAUUAAAUACCCGUUCUUCCACCUUGGGGCAUGCAUCUUGUGCAAAUGCAUCUGUUAUCUUGAAUGCAUUUGUUUCAAAAUUAUGGUAGACUAAACUACAAUGGUCGAUAUAUACAGCAGGGAUUUUCAACUGGAGAGUGAUAUCAUGCAUCCCAACUGUACGACGGUGUCGUGUCCGGUGUUAAAUGCUGCUUAAAGAGUGAGGACAAAAGUAGUUCUAAAAUCAGAAGUUAAUAAGUCAACUCAAUUGGCGUGCAACUUUCCAAUUGUUCCUUUUGAUUUGGCAUCUUGUAGUCCGCCAAGCAAUGGAGCAAUAAGAAAAAAAAGCUGCACAUCAUCUGAUUCACCUUUUGAGCAACAUUUCUCUGUGGCACCACUAGGUCUUUAAAUUUAUCUAUUAGAUGAUUCAUGAAAUAUUAACAAUCCAGAACCUCAUCUAAAAAAACUUGUUGGAAGAACGUAUCAUUUGGAUUUCUUGAUUCUGUAUAAAUAUACAAGAUCUAUCCAAUAUAUAAUUGAUGUAAGACUAAACAUAUAUUUCACUUGAUCUACUAAGAAGUACAUUGGUAAAAAGUUGGCCUGCAUAUAGACAUAAAUAUGUAGGAAUAAAAAAUAAGCAAAGUAUAUGAAAAUGAGGCAAUUUCAUAUCACAAUUCAGAUCUUUUUCAUGCCAUAUACAGUCACCAUUAUAUCUAUAGAUUGAGUCUGAAUUAAACUAUAAAAUAGUUAAUGCAAAAUCCUAUAAGAUGGCAUCUUUUAGGAGUCACAUGUAGUACGUAGGAUGCUAUUUCUUGAAGCAAUGAAAGCCUCAAGCAUUUUCCAAGUGAAACAAUAGUAGUCAAUGGUUUUUCAAUUCAUACUGACUAUUCCAUGGUUGCAGAAUUUAUAGUAUUGUAAAAUAGAUAGUUGAUGUUUUCUUAUUAAGAAAAAUAUAUCCUGACAAGCUAAUGUGAUUAUGCUAAAUUAGAGGUUUUACUGAAUCUUCAAGAUUUCUUGCAACUUUGGAUGUUAUCCUUUUGUUUUCUAUGUUGUCUUUCUGAUACAACAUAAAGGGUCAUUCACUUCUUGGAAAAGAAAUUUAGUUUAAGUAGGUUCAUGUUGAAAUGCAGUAAUUAACAAUUUCUUUUUACUUUACACUAUGUUGGCCGGCUUUAGAGAUCUAGCAGUAAUGGCUUUGAAAAUUAGAGAACGGAACAGUACUAGAUAGUUGUUCCUGACAUAUUUGACCGAUGCCGUCUUUAAAAUAUGUUGCAAGAGAAGUUCUGGCAAGUGCAUAGCAUGUCAAAGCAGCACAAGAUUAUCCAAGUCAUUGGCUAUUUUAGAGAUGAUCAUAUGCAAAUCGGUUGCAAAUUUAUAAAUGUGACCUUUAACAUUAUAUGUGCUUAUUAUUAAUAAGUAUGGAGUUGAUUUAGUAUUCUAAAUUAAAGAAUUAUUCGAUACUCUAUAAAUCAAAGAAAAAAAUCUCCAUCACUGAUGGAGUUGUACAUUUCAUAUUAAAUUACUGAACAACAACCAUAGAACCAUUCACAAAUCCUGCAAUUUAAUCCUUUUUUUCUUUAACAACUGCAGUCAGGAAAGACUUGUUCCUGCACACUAACAUGGUCCUUUAGUAAAUAAACUACGUUUUAAUUCGGACGCUCCUUCCGUUUUCCAAUAAUCUUUUGCUUUAUUUCCGGUUCAAUUGCCAAGGUGGUAAGAUGCUUGAAGAAAUAUAUGCAUGCGAGGACCAUCGGGCCAUGCGUGCCGUUGAUGGACGUGGACAAGCACGACGGAGGCGACACCUACGGCAUGAGCACCUUUGAAGCUGAGAAGGAUAGCUGCAUGAAGUGGCUCGAUGCGAAGCCACCUGGCUCCGUGGUCUACGUCUCCUUCGGCAGCUUUGCAUCCUUAGGAGUCGAGCAGAUGGAGGAAUUGGCAUCUGGGCUCAAGGCGAGCGACGAGUACUUCCUGUGGGUGGUGAAGGGCCCUGACAGGAAGAACCUCCCUCGCGAAUUCAUUGAAGAGCCACCGGAGAAGGGACUCCUCGUGAAGUGGAGCCCGCAGCUUGCUGUCUUGGGCCAUGAGGCCGUGGGAUGCUUUGCGACGCACUGCGGCUGGAACUCGACGCUGGAAACGCUGAGCUUCGGGGUGCCGGUGGUUGCGAUGCCGCUUUGGACCGACCAGCCGACGAAUGCCAAGUACGUGGAGGAUAUGUGGAGGGUUGGCAGGAGGGUGAGAGCAGGGGAGAAGAGGAUCUUUCUUAGGGAUGAGGUCGAGAGGUGCAUAAGGGAGGUGAUGCAUGGGGAAAAGAGUGAGGAGAUUAGAAGGAAUUCGAGGAGAUUGAGGGAUUUGGCCAAGAAGGCAUUGCGUGAGGGUGGGAGUUCUGAUCAGAGCCUAAAUGAGCUUGUGGGGUAUCUGAAUGCAAAGGCCAAGGAUCGUAGUGCCUCGCAGUUUUGACUGAGGGGAGGAGAAGAGUCUAAAUUGGAGUUAGAACUAAACCACCUUGGAGUAUGCGCCUAAUUAAUUGUUUCUCUAGUUUGGUCUCGUUGGUGGAAGAACAAUGUUAUCGAAUGAUUAGUUGCAAUUAAUUAAGAACAGUUUAUCAGGAGCUGUUAUCAAAUUAAACCAGUGUCAUUGAAUAUGUCAGACAAUGCUUUAAAAGCCGAUGAUGGAUCAAAUGCAACGCAUACUCUUGCAAAUUGUUUUUUGUUUUUUGGGUGAAAAAGGAGGCAAAGCAGCCCUUUAUUUUAUUUAGAGGGAUGAGCUCUUGCCGUUAGACUUUGGAACUUAAUUUGCUGCAUUUCUCACUCUCAUGAAGAUUCAUAUGAACUGAAAACCUGAAUUUAUCAGCAUAAUUUAUUUACAUAUCAUCAUGUAAGCCCCAAGCAUGAAGGUAUGUCUCCCCGUCAAUGUUUUGAUGAAACUUGGCAGCAGGUAUUGCAGUCCAACAUGAUACUCGCUUGAGCUGCUCUAAUUAAUUUUCUAUGUUUUCUGCAUGGUAGGGCGUGGUUACAAUUUGAUAUCUGCAAGUGAUUCCUCCAGGACCAAAAGCUUCAUAGGUGUCAUAUUUUGAGUUGAAACAAGUGUUUUAAAGCAUGCAUAUGAGAAGUAAAAGAUGUGAAGUCUUCAUAGAGACGUGCCGCAAUUGGUAGAUUUUCUAAAUUACCUUUCCUGCAGUAAUUUACAUUUUCCCAAUGAUUGUUAAUAUUCUCUAAGAUAUACUGAAAUUUUUGCUUCAAUCUAGAAUAACUUUUUAGCUCUUCAAAAUGAUAAGACCUAAAGAUAAACCUCACCAACAUAAACUACAUACCUUUUUCCUCAAUUACGUACCUUAUUCCUGGUUCAGUUAAAGCUUAUAACCAGCCAUGACACUACCACAGACAUGGGUCAGUUUCAGUAUGCAUAUCAAGCAGACUUAGCAGACUAUUAGGUAUAUACUAUCAUAAAUUAAGAUGAGAAUAUCAUACAAACCAGUGCAACACAAAGCUAUAAUCCUGAAUAUAAAAUAUCAUAUUUAAGCAGCUUUACCGUCAUUUAUAACAUUCCCGUAUUUAAAUACGAAUCAGAGAUUGGUCCCUCAAAACACAUUCCGGACGGAAGGUCACUCUCACUUCCUUGCAAGCCUCCUUGCAGCUCCAAAUAACAGAGCCUUACCAAUAAGACCGGUCUGAAGCCCACAGACAACGGCCACCGUUCCACCAAUAACAACCCAUUUCCAGUCAAUUCCGUGAUGUACCUCAAUAACAUCAUCAUUGUUACCUGUUUCUGAUUCAUGGGACGGUUCUGAGUCCAAGAGUCCGAUGCUUCCAUCAACUGGAAUCUUCGUGGUGACGCGUGCCAUUAGUGCACUCCUGGACAGGGUUACAUCUGUUUUUCUCAUUACUUGAUACGCUCUCAUACCAGAUUGAAGUUUCUUAACAGCUCCCCACAUUCCAUGACGAACACCAACCUUAGCUACAUCCUUCGGAAUGCCCAUGUCCUCGUAAUGAAUAAGAGUUACUUCACAUGCAGAAAGUUGCGCGUCUUGUCUUCGCGACUCCACUGCAUCCAUGUGAAUGAAAAUAAAAAAGAAUAUAUUAAGAAUAUUAUAAGAUCCACCGUGAUACUUGCAAUAAAAUAGUUGAUUAUAGAAUCCAAACAUGAAAUGGAAAGAAACCCGUGGUGAUCAGAAUUAUCCAUCCAAAUGAUGACAUGAGAUUUCAGCUGCUGGAUGAUUGGAAAUCUGUGAUCAGUACAAAAGGCUUUUGGCAUAACUCAUUUCAAGUCACGGUUUCCAACAAAAGUCUAUAAUAGCUCACUAUUUGGGAAGUAAAUUUCAAACAUAACUAGCACGGGAUAAUGGUGAAGAGUUCAGUUAAAUCGUAUUUGUUGGUCUACAAUAUAGUCCUAGUAGCAUCCCAUGGAAAUAUUUGAUUCAAUAGGAAACACAAAAUUAAUUUAGGUUGGUCAGGAUUCUUGAAAUACUUCGAUAAAGUAUAUAUGAUAUGUACCUGCUCUGAUGCGCCAACUUGAGAAAUACAGUUCCACACGCCUUGGUUUUUCGUUCUUGCGUAAAGCUGGGUAAGGAACAUUCUGUAGAAUAAAAUGUGAUAAAUUAAUUAGAGAAACAACACCGGCGAUUAGGAUACAACGUACAAAUACCAGAUGGUGUAAACACUGCCAGAUAACAGCAACAAUAUAUAUCUCAAACUAAAGAUGAUGAAUGCAAUAAACGACAAUCAUCCUCAUCCUAAAUUUACCAUGCCAAGUUCGAAAGAUGGUAAAAAGUAUGCAUGGAUGGGCUGCUAUUCACAUCAACAUUAAGGUGUAAGGAUGAUUAUAACUGCUGGAUUUCAAAUGCCAGUAAGACAAGUUAGUGGCAGCUCUCGCAGACCUUUCUAAAACUACAAAUGCAUCUGUCAUAUAACAUAUGCGCCGAACAAAACCUCAGGGGACUAAAUUCCUUCACUGUUGAUCUAAAUUCCUUCACUAUUGAUCUAAAGUCUCCUCCAGAUCUCCCUCCUCUUUUCUCUGCUGCUGCAUCCUCACAACAACCAUUGAUUCGGUUGCCUGGAGAUCCACAACCUCAUUGAGCAUGAAAAGCAUCACACACUCCAAAGGCUUUAACAGCAACUGCCACCAUGAAAGCAACACCUAGUCAGGUAGAACCUUCUCACCCUACCACUUUUUUCUGAAGCUUAAAUGAGCUGAGUCAGCUCAAGCUUUGCUCGAUUUGCUUUUCGAGCUUAAGCUGACUUGAGUAUACACUAACCGAGCUUGAGUUGGGCUUUCUCAACUAGACUUAAGCCGCUAUCGAGCAGACCGUUUAUAAUGUCGCGCCGAGCUUGAGCAGAGCCCAGCUUGUUGAACUUGUUUAUACCCCUAAUGCUAUACUACAGUCUUAUAACUAAGGCCAAGAUGACAAAUAAUCAGAAAGGUCUGAUGGUCCAUUUGGCCAUUCCAUCUUGUUAGUAUUUCCUUCUUCAUUGCAGUGUAGAGAAAGAUUUAAUGUGAUUUUAUUUGGCAGAUAUUGGACAUUUUUCAAACAAUGUUUGCCCAAUGUUGUGCAAAACAUGAAGCGUGCAUGAUUGGCACAAUUCAGUCCAUGUAGUACAAAAAUAUUACUUUACAGACAAAGUUAAAUAAAAUGGAAAAAGAGCCGAGCUGGAGAGUCUUGAAUUUUGUAAUCUGUGAUGUGCAGCUAUUCUACCCAGAUACAUGGAAAGAGAUGCCCUUAAUGCUAGAACAUUGAUGAAAAUGAAAUACGGAUCCAUUAUUUUCUACCAAGAAAACCCUAUCCCUUACAAAAUCUUUUUAAAGAAGAAAAAAUAGAUAUAGUAGCAUACAAGCAACACAAAUUAAAAAAUGGAUAAAUAUACAAAGAGGAUUGAGCAUGGUCUAGUUUGAUAGCAAAAUAAUCAUUAAACAGAAGAUAUGACCACAACUAAUCUAGAAACUUGUCAUACAAUACCUUUGUCAAACAAUAAUAAGUCUUUUCAGACUCCCAUAUGCGUCGACCAAUUAUGUAUUCUCGAUCACUGCAGAAGAAUGGGAACUGGAGGUGACAGAUAAGCAAUCAAGUCAAACUUUUAUUAUGAGCAAUUAUAAGUUUGAGAAUCAACAUUUGCAUGAGUGAUGCUUGUUGAAAACCUUUUUUAUCCAGUGAACAAUCAUUGUUCCACUCUCAGGGAAUUCCUCCAAAGUUUUAAAGUACACGAGCAUGGGAUCCCAUUUAAGUCGAAAAUCAUCAUCCCAGAAGAAAUCUCUGACCAAUUCAGGAGUUGCAUCCUCAAAUACAGUUCUGCUGCGAUAAAUUAUGGGGCCCACCUGAUGAACAAAAAAGAACAUCAGAAUCUUGAAUUUAUUGAUGAAUUAUACCAGUGGUUAAGAUGUGGUCAAAAGCACAAAACUAUGUGAGAAAGAAAUGAAGCAAAGGAACUUCAUAGCAUUUUUUUAAAUGAGUGGAGGAAGAAACAAUAAACUCCAAAAAUUCUGUCCAAACGAGGAAAAUAAAAUAGACUAAUGAAGAAAACAUUUCAAAAUAGUAAAGGAAAAGAUACAUCAGCAACAUAAUGCAGGAAAGACAAAAGCACACAUGCAUGCAUGCAUUUGAAACAAAUCCUAGGAAACACAAAAAUAUUAGAGACACAGUAUGUUCUCAGAAGCAAUAUAGUUAUUGAAACCAUUCUGUUGCAGUAAUUGUUCAAAGCAUUAAAACUUCAUAUUUUACCUCAGGUUCAUGGCGCCAAGCUUGGUAUAUCAUGUUUGGUGUGGUGCGUUCCAUCUGAUUUUGCCAUACUGCAUCUCCCGCCUUACCAUCCAAAAGAUGCAAUAGAUGCUCCAAAUCUUUCUCAAUAACAACAUCAUGCCCACCCUUGAAAGCUCCACUGGUAGAUCCAGAGAAAGAUUGUGUAAAGAAAGUUAGGGCAUUCUGAACUUCAAAUACAUGCACUAGUUCACUCAAAAAUAAGAAAACAAAUAAAUAGAAAUGAAGGUGCUAUGAAGUGCCAUAUAAAUCCUCAAUUUUUGCCAAAAAAAUUUUGAAGUUGCAUACUAGUCAAGCCUUUUCUGAUGCGAAAUGGUCCUAGAGAGAGUCACAGCUUAUUCUAAUUGACAACAUAUUCCCUACCCCCCCCCCCCCCAACCAAAAAAAAGCAUUGUGAAAGUAGCAACAAGGAAAAUUUUAUGACACAUAAGGGAACAUUAUGUUGCAGAACUCUUAAUGUAACCUUAUACCAAGAUUUAAGAAUAUCACAUGACACAUAUGACUUAGUCCAGCAAUGCAACUAAUUCAUAUCUUCGCCAUCAAGUGACCUCAUCAAGAGCUAAUUCUCAUGGCAACACCAUCUCGGUCGUACUUUUCUUAUGCCGGUAAUGGUUCUGCACACUUAUGGUUUAAGUGACCACACAGAUAUGCAUUGAGUUCAUAAUCAUUCUGAUCUACGUAAGAUCAAUUUUUACUCCUUUCAUAUAGCUGUGAUCUAGCAUUCUCAUGAUUUAAAACAGGGAUUCUUAGUUUAAUCCUACUGAAUUCUGCACCAAUCACACUGAAAAUGGUGAAUUAUUUUUUAUGACAUCCCAGUCUCAAGUCCAGGUACGGGGAAGUGGGUCUCCUAAAAUUUUUAAUAAGAGAACACUUUAUGAUGCGAGUGCAGGGAUGAGUUUUCAAGGAGAUUCAAAGGUAGACACGCCACCUUAAAUAGAAGAUUCUUGCUACAAAGGUACAUGUUGAUGUCUUAUACAUGUUGAUGUCUUAAGUGGAAAUCUGCAAUUCAUGGAUAAGUGAACCAUUAUGAUGAAGGCAGACAGCAUUGAAAGCACUUUUAUGACCUGCAAAAACAUUGAACAAUAGUUCUAGGCAAAUUCAGAGGCCUAAAUUAGAAAUUGGAUAUGUAUUUCUAGGAAAACUUUUUUAUUCACAAAACAAUAGUUGAUUUNNNNNNNNNNNNNNNNNNNNNNNNNNNNNNNNNNNNNNNNNNNNNNNNNNNNNNNNNNNNNNNNNNNNNNNNNNNNNNNNNNNNNNNNNNNNNNNNNNNNNNNNNNNNNNNNNNNNNNNNNNNNNNNNNNNNNNNNNNNNNNNNNNNNNNNNNNNNNNNNNNNNNNNNNNNNNNNNNNNNNNNNNNNNNNNNNNNNNNNNNNNNNNNNNNNNNNNNNNNNNNNNNNNNNNNNNNNNNNNNNNNNNNNGGUUCGCACCGGUACGAGGCCGGUACGGGCCCGAACCGGCCGGUACGCACCCGUACCGGCCGGUACGGAUAAAAAACCGGGAAAUACCGGUUUUUAUCCGUUCCGGUACCGGUCCACGGCCGGACCGGUACGUACCGGCCCGUACCGGCCGGUACGGGCCGGUACGGCAUUCCAUGAGUUACAUAGUAACACAGUAAAGUUGUUUAGUUACAUUUUGGUUAAAAAAAGAGAAGUACACCACUGCUUUUUCUCUUCUUGCUAAGGGAGGGAGCUUUUGGUCAUUUCAAAAGUUAGUUGGAAGCUGGAUAGCUCUGUUCCACUAUAUCUAAGGAACACAUUAUCCCAUGAUAAAGACCACUGACAAGAACAAUCAAGUACAACAAUCCAGCCCUUUGUUUUGGCUGUUUGGCAGACAUUCCAGGUAUAACUACGGUUUAUCCCCUUUCCAGACUAAAUCAAUGACGGUGGUCAGAAUAUAACAUGAAGGAUCUGGACAUUACCAUUAGAGAUAUCAAUCUUGAAGGCCAAGAGUGUCGAAACUGAAAGCUCUGGGAUUCAGUCAUCUUAAACCAUCGAUCAUUGGUUAACAUCGAAUGAAAUACACAUGGGUUCCAUCAGAGAAUGACCAGUUCAAACAUAAAGCUCAUCAACAUAACUAUACAUCAAGCACGAUUCAUAACUAUGGAGACAGAAUUCUUAAGUCAAUUCAAUGUUAAACUAACCAAAAGGCAUCAGGUGUUGGAAAGAAUAUGCAUAGACAUCUUCUUAGAAGGAAUCAAAAAGCUAACGUAAACAAUGCAUUCUGUCCAACACUAAUUGUGUUGAAGUCAGAUUGAUGGUUCGUGACAACAUCCUUGGAUUAUAUAAAAACACAUUUCCUGCAGUUAGACAAAAAAUUACAUUUAGAAUAUGGAUAUCUUCAACUAAACAUUUUUUAUGGAGGUUGAGAUAUGCAGGUUCUCUAGAAAUAGCUUAGCACCAAGCCAAUCACUUAAACUUAUUGUACUAAAAAACAUGAAUUAAAAAUUCACAAUAGUAAAUAUAAUAUAAAAUUAAAUUAAGUCAACAAAUCAAAGGAAGUAGCUAAAUUAUAGAAUUUUUAACAUUUAUUUAAGGACUUAUUUUAGUGUAACAAUGAUAUGUUUCCUGUUAUGUAACAAUGAUAAUUGAUCUUAACAGAAACAUGUUAAAUACUUCAAAUGAGUCGAUGCAUUGUUAAACAUUAAUGAUAUUAGUUAUUAAUCCACCUAACAACCAUGCCUAAUACCUUGCCAACUCCACAAUAUUGUGCAACCUAGUUGCCCUUGGGUUGCUUAUGCUUAGGCUGGCCACGGAGGCUCUUGCAAAGUGGUCGACCAACAUAUAGAAGCUGCCAAAAUGGUUGGAUACUGAGUGGAUGGCCAGGUGACCACCUAAGCUUGGGUGACUGCCUCUGCAGUCCAAGAGGCUACUUUUCAAAACAAUGACCGGAAAGGUAAUCAACUAGUGGACUAAUUCUGAUUAUUUGAAGUAGAUGCCCCUCAAGAAAUAUAUGAUUCCCUCGAUCACAUUCCUCCCAGUUUGGAGCCUGAGCCUUGAUCCAGAAAUACAUAAUUGGCCAUCAUCAUCAAUAUCAAUGAAAUCUUUUUUCAUCUUUUUCCUAUCAAAUGAGGUCAGCAUCAGAGCAAAAUUUUAAGUUGAGAAGGCUCCAUUAAAGAACUAAACAAAGUUUUAUGACUGCUUAUCCUAUCAUAAGGAUGUUUUCAAUGCACAUCCUCCAAUAAAAAUCUGUCCAAUUUCAUUUGUGUCACAUACUCUUCAAUACUUAGUAAGAUGCAUCAUCCAUUCAUAAAUAAGUUCAUACUGGCCACUGAAGCAAAGAAGGAUAGUACAUGCAUGAAGUUCUAAUCUCUCAACCAAUUUCUAGGCCCAUGAAUCUCACUGUAAAGAAAAGCAUCACGGCAGUGACCAGUUGCUUCUCUCUCCAAGUUUCUCUCUCUUGUCCACUGCUUGUAUUAUUAAUCUUCACGAUUUUAUAAUAAGUCCCCACGCUCCCAAGAGAAACACCGAAAGCAUAAUGGUAAGUUUUCAUUUCCAGGAUACGAGGCCCAUUUGAAACUCUCAUAAAAUUGUGAACCACAAUCAUAUGAUUUGCUGGUUCUACUCAAUAUGCAUGAAGCCCGAGUAGUCUCAUAACUCAACCAGCGACUUCUAUUAUCUCUACCCUCUUCGAAAUCCCAUCGCACCAACAGUCUUUGGUCUCACCUUUAUAAUUCGAUAUAGACAAAAUUUGACUUUAAGCAUAUUAAAGUGAACCCAUUUCAAGAAGACAGGGUUCCUAAUUAAAGCCUCUGCUUUUCAGACAGAAAGUUAAGAUAGGAAAAAAUAUAUAUAUAAAAACACAUAAAUUCUUGUAUUGUAACCUAGUUUUUCUACAAUUCAAAUUUUCUCAGACUUCAAAAGAUUAAGCAGCAUUCAGCGACACACGCACGCACGCACGCAAAAAAAAAAAAAAAAAAAACCUUUAGAAUUACAGAAAGACAUGAAUAUAGAACUCCACUAAGACAAAACGGGAUUUUUCCUAAAAAUUACUCAAUUACCGAUCUUUAUCUUUCUUUCAGCAUGAAAGGACCCUCUAUUUUGCACAACAUUCACUUACCUAAUUCCCAUAAAUGCGUAAAUUAAAUAAUUUUAUCAAAGAAAACAACCCAAAAACAAGAAACCAAAAGGAAUUCACACCCACCUGAAGCUACCACCACCGUCCUCGUCCGCGGACGACAUGGAAACCGCCGGCCGGGAGGCCGAGUCCUCCGGGGCCGGCGACCCCUCGCCCUUCCCCUUGAAGCUGGACCAGAGCUUCCGGCACACGGAGAAGGCUGAGAGGGCGGUGAACGCCAGCCAGAGCCGGCGGGCCCCGAGGCCCGGCGGAGCCGUCCACAGAAACCGGAAUUUGCUCCUCAUCCCCAGGAACAACAGCCCCGUCCACCGCGGCCGCCACGACCACCCAAUCACCAGCCCGAUCAUCACCGCCACCCAGAUCGGCACGGCGCACAGCAAAAUAUCGAUCAGCGUCUCCACCACCGCCGGCCGCCGCAUGAAAUCCACGAUGUUGGUGUACAUGUCCCCCAUUUUCCUCCCCAAAUCAAAAAAUCCUCAAAGAGCCCCACAAAACAGAAGAAGAGGGCGAGCGACAGAGAGGAUUCGUUCUUUCUCGGUGGAUUUGAUUAAGGAGGUCAAUUGGGAAAUUCGGAUGGACGGGGUGCAAAAUUACGAGGGGAUUAAUCUACGGAGAGAUCACGCUGCGGAUAAUAUCCAGCGGUGUUGUCGGGCAAUAUCAGCGUCGUGUCGCCAGGCGGUUGGGCGGGUACUCUGGUCGGUCAGUUCACCAGGCGGUGAUGGGAGUUUGCGACCAAGCACGAGGUUUUGAGGGGGGCAUCCCGGAAUAAUAUUCCGAUAUUUGACAAGGAUGGAUGCUUAUUCUACGACGGGGACUCGGUUGGGGGAUCGAUUUCACCUACAGUCACCCUCAAGUUUAGUUAGAAUCAAUUAUGGAUGGACCCCUUGAGCCAUGUAAUUACGUGCAUGGUUCAUCUCUAAUUGUUAGGCCCAAGAAGUGUGGAUGCGAUGACUCUUAAAUUCACGAACCUCGACUGUUCGAAUAGAACAGCAACCAUGGGCCGUGGUGUUGGAAAUUUUAAAUUUUCUAUUUUCAAUUUUAUUUUUUCUCUCUUUUUUAAAUGAUUCAAACAGUUUUAAAAUUUGAUUUUAGUAGUUCCAUGUUUACUUGCAUUUAUAGAUAUCUGGUUCAUUCAAAUCAAGGUUGGGCUUUAAGGAUGAUGGGCUAGUGAUCGCAUGCAUGGGCAUGUGCUUGCCCAGCAGGCGUGCACAUGCGCAUAGCAAGGCAUGUUCGAUGAGUACAUGUGUGUGUGGGAGGCACAUAAAAGAUUCUCCGACAACAAUAGGGCCUAUACAAAGGCCCCUUACAACUUAGUCCUAUAUCCUAUAUCACAUUCCACUUAGUUUCCUUUUCCUCUUCCUUUCAAUAGAUUUUUUUCCUGCUAUUCUCUUUUUUAGUAUUUCUAAUUUUUCAUACAGGUAAUUGAAGGAGUUGAUCAGGUCAAGUCUUAUACACGAUUGUGUUUGUGAGAGGAUGAUUAAGCUAAGCAAGGUUGUUAUGCCUUAGAGAUGAUCUUGCCAUAGACUUGCACCAGGGGACGAAUUUCGUUUCCUAAGGUAGUAUUUUUUUUUUUGAUACACUUUGAUCCAAGCAAGCUUUCAAUCUUUUAAUUUUUAAAUAUUUUCUUAUUAUAAAGUUUUCAGAAAUAUUAUUUUUGCAAUAUUAACAAUUUCUAGGUGCUAGAGCUUCAACACAUACAUAUACUUUGGAGUUUGAUUAGGUGUUUGCCACACUAGUGAAACACUUUGUCCUGCCAAUGUUAGCACCCUAAAGUCUAUGUGUGUACAUUUAUGCAAUAACUACCAACCUAUAAAAUAAAUUUUAUAGUUAUUUUGAUUUUAUCUAUUCUAAAAAAAUUGAUAUGAUGGGGAAUAACCAAUAAUUGCUAGCUCAACUGGUUGGCGCCUCUCCCCCAAAAAUCUGAUUUGUGUAAGAUCUAGGGUUUAAACUGUAGUGAUCCCAAAUUAUCACCAUAUUGCUUCGAGAGAGAGAGAGAGAGAGAGAGAGAGAGAGAGAGAGAGAGAGAGAGAGAGAGAGAGAGANNNNNNNNNNNNNNNNNNNNGAGAGAGAGAGAGGAAUGAUAUAAUAAGUAUCUUUUGAUUAUUCAUGUAUUCAUGAAACGUUUCUAGCGCGUUUUUUUGCUUUUUGCUAGAGAAAAAAAAAAAAGUUUCUAGUGCGUUCAUAAAUUUAUCAAAGUGUAACAGGUGUAGAUAUUUUAGCAUUGAUCUUAGCUAAUGGAACAAUGUUGUAAUUUGGGAUCAUAUGAACACAAACUAUUUUCUUAACUAAUGUGCGUUGAAGACUGGACAUUUGCUAUCAUGGCCAUCAAUAAAAAUGUGUCAGCUUCUGUCAAAUUAGCACAAGAAAAAUCUAGCAAAUUACAUCAAUCUACAAAAAUAAUCAUAAUGUUUUAAUUAUUCUUUACGAGGUUAUUAGAGGUCAAACUACGCAGCAGCAAGUCUCAUGCAUUAAUGGUGCCCAACAUCAUAGUUCCCUCGGAUCAACAUGGAUCCAUAUAUGAGACCACCAUCAAACUAUUACAUCUAGAUCGACUCUACAAUUAUUUCAAUUUUAUUUACGAUUUUAGAUUGAUUAAAAGUUAAUUCUUCAAACCUAAUAUUUUUUAGCUUUCAGUGCAAAAUAGCCUGAUAAAAGCAGAACGUUUAAUCAAGUAAAAUGUUUAUUUUGUCAUAUUAUUUGCAAAUGUCAUGAUUCUAAAUCAUUGCCACCUAAUUGCCUAAAGAAGAUGAAGUUGUUUUGUGUUAUUACGAACUCUUUCAAUAAAGGUUUGUUUUGUUUCCGGGGAAUAAUGGAAAAUUAAUAGGAAAAGUAGGACUUUCCAUGAAAAUGAAAAAGUUUUCUAGAAAAACUUUUAUUAUUUUUUUAAUAGAAAGUAAAUAAAUAAUAGAUCUCUUAGAGAACAUAUUUUCAAGCAGUUUUCUUUCCAACCAAACAUAUCUUAAGUGGUUUUUAUAUGAGACCUAUUGAUAAUAACUACAAUAAAUUCAUGUAUGAAGUGAGGAUAUUAAGUGCACAUGUUUGUUUAUGUAAAGUCUCAGUCAAGGAAAAAUGAGUAUUCAUGUAAAUAAUUUAUAAGCUAUGGGUCUGGAAAUACGUGUAAAAUGCUCCAUGAGCUCCGUGGCUAGAACUUUGGUGAUUGAACUAAAGGGUACCAAAUACAACAUACAAGCUCAUGCGUUUUUUUUAAAAAAAAAUUAAGUAAAGGGGGAUACCAGCCCAUAUAUACUUGAAAGAUCUAUUAGCACAAAUAAUAUACCCUACUUAAAAAGAUCUCUUCGCGCAAAUAUACCAUUCACAGUACAAGAGGAUAUUGAAUAGCAAACGAGAAGGUUGUUGGAAAUUAUCUCACUUGCAAACCAAAAUGAAUCAACAAUGAUUUUGUCAAUUAGUACAUCGGAAAAAAUCAAGCUAGAACUACCUCACACACAGGCUAAAUCUUACGCAAAUACAUCAAACAGAAGGAAAACACAAGUCCAACAUUAGAAGCUACGUACACAAGCUAGCUCCCCUAGAGUUCUUGAGAAACCUAGCACCCUCCCACACCCACGUACAAGUUGAGGUGAAAAGUUAAGGUCAAUGUGGUGGGCAAAUGCCUCCAGGAUUGCUGGGAUUUCCAGUGCAAUUCGAAGGUCCAGACUGUGGCGUGAGGGACCGUCGCAUGAAGGCCUUGGAUAACAAGAGACCCGCAUACCCUUCCGGCCACCAAUGCUGUCCCAAUAGAGGCCUCGCUGCCAGAAGAGGUUGCAUGGUGGAGAUCACCAGCACCAGAAGAACGAGCUGCUUUGCACCAGGACCCAUCAUCGCACCAAGAAAAGAGUGCAAGCUUUGGGUAUGCCUUUCCUUCUAUAAGGACAGAGAUAAAUAUCCAAGGAUCUUUGAGGAUGGUGGAAGGGAGACGGGGGGGGACGAGUGUUUGAAUAGCAGCAGCACCUCCCAGUUCCAAGAGGACUUGAUCGUCGCAAGGAUCUUUGAGGAUGGUGGAAGGGAGACGAGGGGGGAACGAGUAUUUGUAUAGCAGUAGCACCUCCCAGUUCCAAGACUUGGUCGUCGCAUGGGAAACAUGAGUUCUCACCGGCGGGUUCGGGUCGUCUCUUUCACGCGAACGGAGGGUUCAUCUUCUUUCGCGACGUGGACCGCUGGAUCGCG
rnacentral:lncRNA from 1 species